rnacentral:lncRNA from 1 species
UUUUUUCUUUCUUUUCACUUGAAUUGUGGACGAUUCUACUCUCACUUGAUUUUAUUAUCUUCAUAUAAUGGAGCUAAGCUUUCUAACUCAAAAGCAAUUGAAAAUGAAUCAAAUAGUAUCAUAAAGUUUAAUAAUAAUAUAUAAGCUGUGCAUCCAAUAUCGCUUUAUUUCAAUUUUUUCCCGCACGUGCAUGCCCUUUGUUUAGGCUUUGUGCACAUAGAAAAAAAACAUGCACUACACUAUCCGGAUGCAGAAUUAUUAAGUCUGAUAUUAUCUAAUGAAUCAUCCAUCCAAUUCAAAAGAGUUGGCAACGGUUGGGGUUCAAUCAUGUUAACAUUAUGAUUUAACAUUCGCCAUUUGGUUUGGGGACAUUUUUCAAUCCCUUGUAAUCUUCUAGCAUUUUAGAUUGCCCAUGUUUGGUAUAUAACUUAAAUCACAUGUAAUAGAACUCUCCAACGGAGAUAGAUGCGCAGAUAAAAUCAUUUGAUAAGCAGACCUACAAAACAGUAUAGUAGCAUAAGCUCUUUCAUAUGGAUAAAUUCUAUAGACGGUGGCAAACAUACAACUUACAUUUGUGUGCAUUGCUGACAAAUUAAGUCAUGCACUCACAUCUAAAGCGAAAAAGUCACAGUAAUUAUGGAUGCGUUGGAUUUUUGGGGCUGAUCAAAACAAGGAAAUUCAUGGCACUCAAUGAGCACAUAUAAAAGCAUUAAACCUAAAUUAUUGAUCUAUAUUGUCAAUAAGAAAAAGAAGUUGAAGAAUCUCUGUUCUCAGUCGUUCGGUCUAAAAUCUGUAAGGAAUAUCAGAAGAUUUAUCUAAAAGUGUUUAUUAUACACAGAAAGGUAUGUAAUCUCAAUCUUCCAAAAGCCUGAAUGAGCCAUAAUCUGUGAAUAUUAUUUUUAUAUUAUUGCAAAAUAUAGCUUUGGUUACUGUCAUGAUUGUUUCCAUCAUAUCUUAACACGAUACCCUGGAUAUCACGAGUAUCUUAACAUAAUGAACUGAUCACUUGACCAUCAUAAUAAUAUGUUUCUCUUAGCUGUUCUUAACGUUUUUUUCUUCCGUUGAGUAACCAGGCACAUUUUAGUACGAUGCAAUGCUAACGCCAAGAAAGAUUUAGUUCAGCUACAGGCUGUACUUGUUUUCUUCUGUUGAUUAAGGGAUGGAUUUUCUAAAAUGCUUUUCCUUAAGUGGUGUGAUACUUAUCUUCUUGGAAGUCAAUUACUGCUAAGGUGCUUAUCUGGGUAUUUUUGGUUCAAACCUGGUGAUAAUAUUCUCAACAGUUUAAUAAUGUCUGUUUGAUGAUCUUGGUAGAGUAUUCCCGCAUCACCUGCAUGGAUUUCUUCAGUCAAAAAGUUUUUCCCAUUUUUUUCAUUCCUGGAAUAUGGUGAUACGGGUUUUUACUCACAGUAAUUUUCUUGAGUUCAGGAUUCAGCGUGGUCACUGAAAAAUGCCAUUACAGUAAAGGAUAAGAAGCUCAAUGUUCUUUCUAAUAAGGUGCAAAGGCAUCUGUCACUGUUUGACUCAAUAGAGAAAGAAGCUGAAGCUUUAAAGGGAACAGUGGACAGUAUUCAACAGCUUGUGAGUGAAAAAGAGCAAGUAGGCAUGUGUAGUCACUAAACUAUGAUAUUCUUACUUUUAAGUAUUUAGGGUCAGGAAAUAUUUGCAGACUCGGAUUGUUGAAUUUUUACUCUUUAUUGUAGUCGAAAUUUUGACAUGGUGACUUAUUUCACUAUUCUUUGAACAUCUAGUAAUCAGAUUGAGGGAGAAGAUGAACAGAAUUUCAAUAUUUGAGAAAGAGCUUGAGGGUAAGUCUGAUUUUUUUGUAGUUCUUACCUUUGUAAUUUUUGCGCAUUCUUGGACAAACGCUACCAUAAGAAAUUUUCAAGAGAAGGGGAAAAAAUGUCUGACUUUUGCCUCACUGUUAAUUCCUGUUCGCCCCAAGCUAUCUGUUAGCUUCUUUUGUUCUGUCUAAAAUAAAGUACUUAUUUUUCAUUGCUUGAAUUAUUUAUUUGAUAGACAAAUAAUGAAUAAUUGUUGUUUAAUUUUAAGUAUCAUUGUGAUAUUUUUUACUUGAGAGAAAAAAUAUCAGGCUUCCUUGAGUUACCGUUUUUUAGUUAAUGACGCACAAAAAACGAUACCUUUGUGGCUUUUUUUAUGCAUCAUCACAUAUAUGCAUCACAGAUGAGUAACAAGUCUUCAUUCCUUUCCUUUCUGACAAAGAAUACAAUCAUUCUGGCUAUUCAAACAUCAGAAUUCGUUCAAUUUCACAAUACGGCCUCAGUUGCUAAAAGCUUCUCUUGCUCUUGUUAAAAUGAUUUAAUUUCUUUCCCGUAAACGGGGAUUUUUUUAUUCCAUUAUUUUAAAAAUCAUUAUUAAUCUAACCCCUUGCAGAGAAGAUUUUAUUAAUGGAGGGUAAAGUUAGAAACUACCAGCACGAGCUUCGGAGGAAAGAUACAACUUUGUUAGAGUUGGAAGAACAACUUCAAGAGGCAAAGAACGAUAUCGUCCUUCAUUCACAAGUCAAAGAAAUAUCCUUCAGCUUUCGUUUUAUUUUUACUAUCAUCUUUUAUUCAAAAUGGGCAUUCGUCCGGCAUACAAGACUUUGCUUUCUCUUUACUCCCAUCACUUACAGAAAACUCUAUCGAUUAAGGACGAGAUUAUUCAGAGUUUAACAUCAGAAAAACAGGUUCUAGUGUCAAUAACCUUACCCUCUCUCUGUCACAUUUCUUCUUUACAUUAUUUAAAGACAUUGCUUGGCCAGGGCUUGCAUCUCGAGCUACUUAACAUGGAGCUCAUGCUUCAAAAGAUUCAGGGCACCGUUGCAAAUUCAUGGCAAGAGGUUGAACAGCAUAAACAGCGGUUCUUUGGAAACUUUAAAAUAAAACUAUUUUCUCAGUUCCAAGUAUUUUUGCAUUGUGGGGUCAGUUUUUAUAUGUAUUAUUUAUCUUCCUAUUGUAGCUGGAUCAAAAUGUGAACUCUUCGCCACCCGCAGCUCAAGUCUUUAAAAUGUCUUCGGGAGAAGAAAAUGAAAGGUGGUGAUCAUGUUUUUUCGAUAAACUAUCACUUGUUUUCACGUUUGGUGGAUAUUUUUCUCUGACUAUGCUAAAUUAUUUCCUAAAUAUUUUCCUUGUUUACCAUCAUUUUUUAAUAUCAUGUUUAUCACAGGUUGGGAAGGAAAAGACGAGCAUUAGGAGAAGAUCAUCCAUCGAAGACUCCUCGUGAGGCUUCUUCAGAGAAUCCAGGUCUAUCUUGUUCUUUUGAAAGACAUUUUCGUCAUUCUAACUGAUUUUUCUUUUUAAUGCAUCCUUCUAGAAAGUAUUACCGCGUUCUGGAGGGCAAAUUAUUUGUGACUAGGAAUAAUUAUUGUCACUUUAUAUUCCGUCCCCAUAGUGACUUCUGAGCUCUUACAUAGUCAGCUCUUUGACCUUUUUCUUUCGUAUUCCACUUUUAUCCAUUGUCUUUACCCACCCUUAAUCGUAUUCUUGAGGAGUCAGGAAAGAAAUAAAUCACCCCUAUAUUUUGAAAUAUUUAGUGUUAUUAAUUUGUGAAAACAUUCUAUGAUGAAGAUCUAAAGAAAUCUUGGAAAAAUAGUUGUAGAAAAUCUAGACGGGUAAAUUAAUAUGUCGAUGAUCUUAUGUAGGCAUAGUUAUGAACAAACCAAAUGCCCUCAAAAUUGGGUUUUUUUCUGCAAUUAGUCCAGGGCAUGCAUUUGGCAAUGGAGAUCAGGAUGACUAAAUAGGCUCUCAAAUAUUUGGCUUUUGUGCUUUUUUCUCAAGUUUGAUAUUUGACUUUCCUCCAUUAAAGACGCAUAAUAAAAGCAUGACGGCAAUAAUCUUUGGUUUUAUCAAUGACACUGUCCUAUCAUCACCAAGAAAUUAACCAAGCUGGCAUCCUAGGUAGUGUAUAGAUUCCCUUUUGGAGGCGGGACCAAGAUCCCUCCACUGUUUGACCAAAAGCGGUCUAAACAUGAUCCAUCUUGUGUGGGUCAAAAUCACUGACCACUGGGUUUUGAUAUUAUUCCGACUCCCUUCCUGGUACCAUGACCCAUCUCUACUCUGACAAUAAAGUAUGAAUGGUUUCUUCUUCCCUGUGAUGCAGCCAUGGACACCUGCGACCGGAACGUUGACAAUUCCUGCACAUCUGAGGCAAGUCAACGCUACCCUUUUGUUUAAAUUUCUGUUCUUUAAUCACACGGAGUCAACUAUCCACCUUACUAAAUUCCGAAUACGACUUGACGCCUCCGCUCAUUCUUCAUCUCUGAUUUCCUCCCAUAUCUGGUAGAUUUCUUCAAACGUAAUAAAUAUCAAUCUCCUACUCUUCCUCCUCCUCUGUAGUUCACUUCUGCUCAACCCAUGCAUGACAUGGAUUCAGAAGGCUCCACAACCAAAGCAGGGCCUCCUUAGGGUUCUUGACAGAGCUUUGAUCCGAUGGAUGUCCCACAAUCUACACAUGAUCAGGAUCGAGGAUCAAAAAUUUCAGCAGAACACUAUUCCGCCUUCAGAUUCUAAUCAUGGGGUCCCCAUUAGCCCAUAUGAGAAUCUAGAAGGCCAUGAUAGAGUUGUAUUAAAAAUGCUUGUGGAAGAUUUUUUUUUUGCUGAAAAAAGAAGGCUAGUCCUGAGGUCAAAGAACUCUCCUACUUGAAAUAGAAACAAGGCUUUGAUGGAUCUCAGCCGGACUUACUGGUACAUUUUGAUAAGUUCAUGUAAAUAUCAAUAAAAGGAAUUUAAUUUCCUGUAAAUACACCCUUGGACUGAGUUUGUCUCCUCACUUCCAGCGUAGAAAUAGUCCACAUCACCGUGCUAAUUGCCACGUAGGAUAGAGGGCCCGCCACGUGCCACAUGGUGGCCUAGUCAGCUUCUCUAGCCUUCUCUGCUCCACCCUUGCUCACAUCAAGGCCCAUGAUAAGAUGAAUGCCACUUCAUAAAUCUGUGUCAAACGGGUUUAUUCAAUUUUAUAUUAUUGAAAUCUCCCUACCCAUCUCUUAAGAUGGACCCAUUUAUAAUUUCUCAAUCUUCGGGGGCGGCCCGGAUCAUGGAAACAUGGAGUUGGAUAAAAUCCCAAAAAAUGGAGAGAAUAUCCGGCGAUUAUUUACUUCCCCCACCCCUUUUUUUUUGCUUGGUGUGAUUCAAGUCAAGUUUCCGCAAUUAAUGCAGACCCAACCUUGAGCAGGUCUUAGUCUUGCUCCAUUAAUUGAGCCCCUCGUUAUUAUUGGACUUGGAGAACUGUCGGCCAUUUAGAGAGAGAGAGAGAGAGAGAGACCCCGUUUUACCCAGAGCCGAGAAGAGCGCGCGCUGUCUUUAGUAAGACCCAGAUUUUUUUUCUCUCUCAGAAUAAUUCGAAGGGGGGGCUUCAAUUCAGUCAAAGGAACGAUCUGACCCCCAGUGAUUUCUAACGGCGGCUGAUGGCAGAGUUGACCUUUCACACCCGCCGCCCUUCCACCAUCCAGAGACGUAUGAAAACUGGGGAUAUUUCCAAGACUCACAAGCAUCCGAAGACCAGCCUGGGGGAGCCGACGAGAGUUGGUUGGGUGCUGCUGAGCGAACGGGUCGCUCGAGACGCGUUCGCUGGAAUAAUUUCCGAACUAGGUAACGUAUCCUCUUAAAGAACUCCAGCUUGGUGACGAAAUGCCAAAUUAGGAGGCCAAACGUACUCUCAGAAGCUCGAAAUAAUUCUGCCAUCUGGGGGAUUAUUUUCAUGUAUCUCCAACCGGGUGGGCUUCUGGAAACGUUUCUAGAAGCCGACGGCCCCUUUUUAUUGUUAUUAUUAUUAUUAUUUAUUUGUUUCUUUAUUGAUUUGUCUGUCAGAUUUCUUGAGAGCGGAGACUUGUGGCUGCAAAUGUUGGGCACCAUUUUUCUUUUUUAAGAAAUAUAAUUCUCAGAUUAUAUUACGUAAUAUGGGGAAGAUAAUUUAUAGGUGGGGAGGUGAGGGGGAGCCCACAAGUUUUUCCGAUAAUUGGAGCUAAAUUAACUCCCUUUAUGACGGCCAUCUUCUCCCCACCAGCUGGUCUUCAGACCCAUUAAAUCCCCCUCCCCCAAUGCGCAAGAUGAUCGUGCAAGCCAUGGCCGCCCUUCUCUCUCUCCUCCUGGUCCUCUCUCUCUCCGCGGCGGCCGCCUCCGCCGCCGGCGGCCUCCCGCCGGUGCAGGACUUCCUGCCCAGCUACGGCCUCCCCAAAGGGAUCCUCCCCAACGGCGUCGUCAACUACACCCUCUCCGACGACGGCGAGUUCGUGCUGGAGAUGGCGGGGCCCUGCUACGUCCAGUUCACUGAUCUCGCCUAUUUUGAUCGCGUGAUCAAGGGGAAGCUCACCUACGGCGCCGUCACCGACGUCUCCGGCAUCCAGGUGAAGAAGCUGUUCGUCUGGGUCUCCAUCACCGGCCUUGUCGUCACCCCCGACGGCAAGUACAUCGAUUUCCAGGUGGGCAUCUUCUCCCAGAAGCUCCCCAUCUCCCUCUUCACCGAGAUACCCAACUGCAAGAAGCACGCCGCCCCCCACGGUGGCUGCCACGGCCGGAGGCACGGCGCCGCCGCCGAUCCCUCCGCUGUCGCCGCCGCCUAAACCGACCCCUCUCGCCGGAGCUCCUCCUCUCUUUCUUUCUUGUGUCCGAACCCGUGAAAUAAGUAAGAUCUGAACGGUCAACGCCAUCCUUCUAUCUCUCUAUCGGGUUGGACCAGAAUUAUGGAAAUAUUGUUCUAGUGUCGGUUUGAGAACGAUGCUGGUCCUUCGUGUGGAGAUCAUUUUCUUUCUAUUUUUAGAAAGCUUCUGUUUUCGUGGUUGCGAUUACUGUAAAGGCGAACGCGGGAAUCCCCGUUCUUGCAGCCAUCUUUGGGAUACUGCUUCAUAUCUUGUCUUUCUUAGAUUGAACAAGUGAUGGGCUCGACGGCACAAUUAGGAACUGAUCGACGUAAAACUUGUACUUUCAUCGAUUUGCCGGGUCGAGACCAUCGGAAACACUGGAAGAUUUAAUCUGGUUCAGACCGGAGAAUAGCCGGAGAUAUAUCGUCUUUUGCAGAGAGAGAGAGCGAGAGAGAGAGAGAGAGAGAGAGAGAGAGAGAGAGGAGGAGGGAGGGAGGAGGANNNNNNNNNNNNNNNNNNNNGAGAGAGAGGGAGGGAGGGAGACGGCGGAGGGGGUUGGGGAUGUGGGAGGGACGAAGCUUAAAGAAUUUGCUAAUGGGCUUCUAACAUUUGUCCACCAAUACCAAGCCAAUAUUUCUUCCUCAAAGCUCAUCCUUAUUGUCAUCAUUUUCCCUAUUCUGUCAUAUGAAACAUCAUGAAGAAAAACUAUCAUACAGAUUGAUCUUCAGCGUUAAUUCCAUAAAACAUUAACAUAUCCAAACAUCAAGUCCCCAUGUAUUCAUGUUAUUAGAUGAGAUUUCUUUUUGUUAUCUUGUGACUUCAUAUUGUGCCAUUUAAAUCUUUCUCGUAUGGGCUCUUCUCACCUUUCUAGCUUUUUUCGUUCUUCUAUCCAAGUUUUUCUUGGACAUCCUCACCGUCCUAGCAUUACAAUGAAUGUCACAUCAACACCUCCAUUGUCUUUGUCAAUUGCACGAUGUUGUUUUGUCCUUUCUAGGUUCGCCUCUAUCAAUUUUAAUCCUUGUAGAGCUGUUUCAAUUGAUGCCACACAUUUUUAUCCAAACACUAAUUGGUUGUGUAUUAGCAUAAGAUACAUAUACAUCCAUGAUGUGUUGCCGCCCAAAAUCUAGAUAUUGGGACUGGACUUGUCAAUUGAUUCAUAAGCUUUCGAACACAACCAAUACAUAUUCAAACUCCAUUUACUUGCAGGAGUACAUCUUGGAUCUGUCAAUUAUAUUAUGGGCAAAGUGCUACUUUUUAGGCAAUAUUUAUAAUUCUUUUAUUAAUAUCAUUUUCUCUUAAUUAGACAUAGGCGUAAUAGACCCGCACUAAGUCUUCAGAAGAAUGGGUUAUUGAGUCCCUUGGGCCUCUUUCACCAUCUAGAGUAUGUUAGCCCUACUAAGGACCUAUCAAAAUAUCUUAUGAUAAUAGAAAUAACCAAACUAGGCCACCUCCACUAGAUUCACAAGUUUAACAUCUUGAAAUCAAUCUUUGUGUCAUCCAAAUUUAAUAAUUUUGUGCUAACUCAACAUUCUAUAUUUACACUUCUAUAAAUACCUAAUUACAUGUAAACAUUUGAUGUUAAUAAUAGGUUAUACCACUAUGAACGAAAUAAAAUUAAAAAAAUCAAUUAAAACUCUCAAUAAUUACUUCAUUAACUUCCUUAGUGAGGUGAGUCAGCCUACGUCCAAAAGUUAUCUUUUAAAUUUUAUCACCUCGAAAGAUUUUCAAUAGAGAUUCAACUUGGAUGCAUUUACUUGUUGUUGCCAAGAUGCAAAAUUCUUCAAAAAAAUAUCAUUACUUGGGUGCUUAUUGAUUAAGAUUUUUGUGCAUGCUUUUGUUGACUUUCCAUUCUUUUUAUUUCAAUUUCAUGUGUUAAAAAAAUAGUUAAGCAAUGUGGUAGAUGAUAGUAUCCCAUUUUUAGAUGCAAUGUGAAAUAUUAUCAUAAAAUUUUGUAUGAAUUUCGUAGAAAUAAAUUAAAUUGUUGAAGAACAUGUUUUUAAAUGUUUUACUUUUUUGGUAAAAUUUAAUUAUUUUUAUGAAUUAUUUCAAGUUAAAAUAUGUUAUCUUUUAUUUUAUAGAAUAAGUAAUAAUAAUCAUAAUAAAUCUGAUUCUAUGAGCCACUACUUCGCAUGUCCAAUGUAGACCUAGUGGGCUGACCACAUUCUUUAGGAAACCUAAAGGGCGCAUUGCUACAUGGCCUAGGACAAUGAGGUCUGAAGUAUGUGUACAUCAGGGCAUGUGAAAUCUUGGUUCAGGACCAAUGGAUAAAUUGUUCUAAGGUCCAAUGGGUGCUAGGACAUCAAUCUAAGGUCAACUUUGAAAGCUUGUGAUGACAUAUAGUCAACUCAUUUAGGAAUUAUGCUCUGAGAGUGAUGCAAAGUCUAUAGGUUUUAAUGGAUCAAAUAUGUUGAACGAAUCAAUGUAGGACUAACCUUGUAUCUUAUUUUACAGGAUCGAUUAUAGUCAUUCGAUCAUCUCAUUGUUUAAUUCAACAUUGCAGAAUGAGCCAUGUCACUUAGACUUUAGUGGUAGAGCGAUGACCGUUUGAAACUUGGAAUGCACAUGUAAUUAUUAUUUAAUAAAAUAGAUAUUAUUGAUUAAUAUCGGAAAAAAUACAACCCAUAUAGAGUCAGCUAACAGAGGUAUUCCAUCUCCUCUCUUUUAUGAGAUCAAAUCCUUUGGCAAUCAACAAACUAGUGGUGAUCUCAAAUUGUUGGAUGAGUAUGAACAUUAAAUAUGUAUUAUCAUCAUAAUAUGAAUAAUAUAUUGUAUCCACAAACUAAAUUUCAAAUAGUGACAUUUGAAAAUUUAUAUAAGAAAUUAUAUCAUGGUAAAAAUUCUUUAUACAAAUAUAUACAACUUUAUAAUUAAAUUUAUAUCACAUCAAAAAGCUUAUGUACUAAAAGGCAACUCUUCUCCCACAAACCUAUCAUAAGAUAAAAUUCAUAUACUUAGGUACUAACCUCGAAAUCUUGUAUUGUUUAUGUGCCACUCUUGAGUUUGAUGCCUAUGUUUCAUAGCAUAUAUUCCAUAAAUUUAGAUAUUGUGUAUUAUAUUCUGACCAUGCAUUCUAGAUACUAAAAUAAUGUGCUUAGUAUAUAUCAUUAGUAUGCAACAUAAUUUCACUUGUAUUUACAUUUUUAGCAUUAUAUUUUAUUACCCUAUAAGAUAUUCCAACAUUCUUAAACAUAAUGUUUGAUUUUCCUACUAUCUAACAAAAUUCUUCUUACAUUGAAAUUUGGAGCUUUACAUAUUACACUAUUCCACAAUGUGUGUUUUUUGUUGUAAAAUAUAAUGCAAGAUGGGACUUCAAUUAUUCUACAAUUCUAGUUCAUUUUAUAGAAAAAUAGAGGCUUUCAAUUCUAAACUAUUCUUUUAAUAUUUGUUUUAUUUUUAUAUAUUUAUUAUCGUUUAAUUGUCAAUGGUUAUGUAUUUUCCAUGUCAAAUUAAAAUAUUUUUUUAAUUUUAAAUUUCGAUUAGAUACAGUUGAUGUCAAUUUUAAUAUUACAAACUUAAAAAAUUAUUAGUGAAAUAUUAUUACAUAUUUUUUUAAUUUCAUAUGUGAUGAAAGCUGAUAUUAAAUUAUCAAUAUUUUUGAGUGUAGUUCAUAUGAAUAAUGUCCAAUAACUUUGAAAUCCUAUAGGUAACAAGUAAAAUCCAAGUAAUUAUGUAUUAAGACUAAGUAGCCUAGAACUAAUAUUGAAGUACAUGAUUAUAUCGUGUACAAAUAAGCACAUAAAGUUCAAUGUUGAUGCAAAUGAAAAAUCUAGAAUAUCAAGAUUAUUUUUGAGUUUUGAACAUGGAACCUAGUUAGUGAUGUGCCAAAAAUUUGUGUGGAUUAAACAAAUAACUAAACCUGGACUUUAACUUAAAAGAAAAUUUGUGUAUUCACAAGAAACAAAUCUCCAAUAUAAAAUUGAAAUCAAACAAACAUGAAAGGCAAAAAAGUUAUCGUCACAUCUUUUGAUUAACAAAAAGAUUUUUGAACUCGACUAAGUAAUUUUUCAGACAAAAAAUGACUAGAAAAUCCACUAUAUAUGCAAAGAAAAGUUUUAGAAGGAAUAAGAGAAUGGAACAAUGUAUAUUCACUUAUCUUGUGCAACAAUCUAUCACCGUAAGUUUCAAAGGAGAAAAAAUGAUAGUAUAUAAGCUGCACUCAACUUUUGUGAUAUAUGAAAUGAUCCAACUCAAAGGUUGAUAUUCUCCAUCAAGUUUUAAGAUAUAUACCUGGUGAGGGGAGAGAGACUUAGGUGAGGACAUGAGUUGUUAGUAGCCUGAUUGUUCUCAUAAAAGGUGUAGAAGACAAAUGAGAGAGUAAUGAAAGAAAAGGUAAUUAUUGGGAACAUUUGGAAAGUGAGGAAGGAUGCAAGUGGUGCAAGGAGCAGAAUAUUCGGCCAAGCUUCAAUAAACUCUCUCUCAUAUUCAAUCUUGAAUCACAACUUAAAUCUCAUCUCUUUUCUUCCUCUCUUUUUUGCCAUGUUAAUGAUGGAAUAUUGACUUUAGAUAAUGCCCCCAUAUAACUAGUAGAAUUAUAACAAAGUGAGAGAAAUAAGAGGUAAUAAAUGAAAUUAAAUAUUGGAUUCCUGAUGAAAGAAAAAUCUAUUGAAUUCCUAAGAUAAAUGGUGGGAUGAAACUUGAACAACUAUCUUUAUUAAGUCACAUGGUUGCCAUGACAAAUCAUACUCCUUUUUUUCUACAUUGAAGUUAAGGGAACCUUUCAUUCCAGAUUUUUAAAAUUAUCUGUGGUAAGUAGUUUCAAGGACAUAGUAGUUUCAAUGUUGAAAAGGCAUGAUGAUUGAUAGUUCUAGUAUUAAGAAGAUAUAGAUUUCCUCCAAUAAAUUCAAGGUAAUAUCCUUGAGGUCAAUUUGACCACAUUUUCUAUGACUAAUGGAUGGUGUCUUUUCUUUGCAUAGUAUUUUAUUUCUACAAGUGGAUUUGUCUCAUUGGCAAAGGCUCCUUUAGCUUUCAGAAAUGAUCUAAGUGCAUUUUACAAUCCAAAUUGUGUCCCUUUAGCAUUCACUUCAAUUAUUUAACCAAUAAAUAAUAGCAUAGAACUAAUAUAGACAUAAAAUCACAUAUUUUAUUUAUGACAUCAUUAUGAUUCAAAAAUUUUAAUAUCCUCUACUAAAUUCAAUAUAUUAUUAUUUUAUCAUUAAAAUAACAUUUUUACCUAAAUUAAUAAAUAUAAACAUGAGCUAAAUAUAAGUCAUAAUUAACUCCAAUGCUAUAACUAGUUAGAGGGAUGAAAAUAAGCACAAGAUAUUUACUUUAAUUAUUUAAGUGUGAUUUUAGGCUCCAAUAUGUGAGAACUAAAAAAAAUUCAAUGAAAAUAAAAAAAUGAGGUUCAUGCAUGUAAUAAUAAUGCAUUCACCCAAAAGAGUUCAAAAAGAGUAAAAGAUUUGAUAUCAAUUUGAAACUUGGUUCAUUAAGGACCUACAAGAUUGGUGAACCUAUUUGAAGAUUCGGAUAAGAAGAUAUCUCCAUAGCAAGAAUGUUAAAUAUAUUCUCAAAUUUUUAUUUUUUUAUUUUUAAUGUAUCUAAUAACAAAGUAUAUAUUUUUUCUUUAGUAUAUUACCUCAUUUAGUUCUUUUAUUGAUCCUACUUAUUGCCAUUUGAUAAUUAAUUGCAGGGUAUGUAGAAAAAACGUAUUCCCAUACCAUGGUCCUUGACUUUUAGGUUUUAUAUGAACCGAUUCCUAUAUAUGAAGCUUUUAUGGAGUCUCUCCAAACAAUUGUGAGUUGAGCUUAGCUCCAAAAAGUUAGUAUCAAUUUAAUAACUAAUAAGAAUUGUGACAGGCUAGUUCAUCUAAGUUUAUCUCAGAUAACCCAUCCAUCUAAGAUUGAUAAGAUGCUGAGCAAGUCACAUCAGGCCAAAGUGAAGAUGAGCUUAAAUAAAAUCAGCUUAUUUGAAAAAAAUUGUCAAAUAGUCGAAACUCAUCCCACAACUUGUCUCUACAGUUGUCAAAUUGAAAACUAAGUAACCUAUGAUGAAGAGAGUGUGUUAUCAAAUUAAAAUUUAGAUAGCUAGAAUAUAGAACCAAGGGGAGGUUUUUGUACAUAAUCAUAAACAGUUAUAAAAUCGGUCCUUCGGGUUUUAAGUUAUGACAGUCAUCACUAAUUAAACCCUAAACGUCUCUCUCUCUCUCAUGCCUUCUUUCUUGGGCCGUUAAACGUUAACUUUUUUGAAAGAGUUUACCUUUAAACACGUUCAUAGAUUGUUUGUUGUCAGUCUUCAACGGGAAUCUAUACAAAUAGUCUGGAUAAAUAAAUUUUGGCAGUCUACUUCCCAUUGAUUCCCCCAAAAGGAAUCUGAAUAUCAAAAGAAUCUCUUUGUGGAGAAUUUUUUUAGAAAAUUUGUGGUCAUUCCUUCUCCUCAGCUCACACAUGGAGUUGUUGAAGUGGUUCAUCACAUGAUUAUUCUACGUAGAACAGACUGUGGUGCUGUUCAAAGUAUUUUCGAAGAGUAGUCCCGUCGUUGGGCGUGUCCUGUCAGAAGAUAUGUUUAUAGGUUCAUAACGCAUUGCCGCCCAAAAUCAAGAUCCUGGGAUCGGGUGACUGGCGUUGGAUGCUGAGAAGUCCCGUCGGAACCUUCUGCCAUCGAAGAGUAGUCGACUCUCUGAAUUCGGCAUCAUGUGGCGUUUGAAGGCAAUCAACUUUCGGAAGUCGAUCUUCAUUGACUCAAUUGUAUGUUAUAUUGGGUCUGAGUAAUGAUGUAUUAUUCAGUGUAUUAAUACAUGAGGAGCGUGCGAGCAAGAGAGGGAGACAGGGAGAGAGAGAGAGAUAGAGAGAGAGAGAGAGAGAGAGAGAGAGAGAGGAGGAGGAGAGNNNNNNNNNNNNNNNNNNNNAGAGAGAGGGAGGGAGAAGAGUGGCGAAGUCAAGACCCUCGGAUCUCCUCCGGGAGGAUGAAACUUUCAGAGGAGAGGCCCCGGACGUCAAAGGCGACGUCGUCUAUCACCCACGUCUCCUCCAUCUCCGUUAUCCCGACCCUCGCAGUGCCCCCUGCGCCCACCCUGGCCAUGCUCACCGCCGACCGGCCGGCGUGGGCGACCAUGAGGCCGUCGACUGGGCGGUAGUCGCCGAUGUAUGACCGAGUGGCCGUCUCCCAGUACGCCGGCGGGAGGCCCAUCUGCUGAAGGCGGGUUAUCUGGGAGUCCUCCAGGCACACGAGGAGGCCGCUCCUCUGGCUGAAGUAGCCCAGCAUGUAGUGCUUGAUGAUCUCCGUCGUACCGUUGCUUCUCUGCGAGAGUGUCCCUUCGUCGGCGGCCAGCUUCAGCACGAAGCACUCCUCCCCCUCCACCUGCUCCUCGCCGAUGAACUCCCCGGCGGAGAAGGACGCUGCCACCAGCGCUGGGUCCAAUCCCUGCCAGAAAGACCAUUCUUCAUCUAAGGUGGAUAGAACACUUAAAAUUACUGAUUCCGCAUAUAAAAAAAAUUAUCCACAGACUAUUACCCUCUUGUUUUAAAAAAUCGGAUGGAUUUCCAACUGGGUGAACGUGUAUAAUAAUUGAACAAUCUAGUCUUCCCAGCGAGUAAAAGCUCAUAGAAUCUGAUCGAUUGGAAAUACUUUUGCUCAAUGUUGGUCAAUCCAAAUCAGACGCAGCUGAUUUGGAUUGGCUACGGCAUCAUCAUUUCCCUUACCCAAUUCCUCGGAUCCUUAACUUAUUAAACCCAACUCAAUUACAUAUCGGACAAAAUUUUAUCUGAUCCAGUAUGAUCGACAGUAAUAAGGAAGCCGAUCGCUCGAUUCAUUUAUCAUUGACUCCUUACCGCUACUGCAUCCCUUGUGAUCAUCCAUGAACUCUUGGUCAAAUUCCCUGCUGACUAUUGACAAGCUAGCUGCCCUGCCCCCCACCCCACCCCACAAUUUAGAAGGGUUGAGUUUACACCUGGCCCUGAGACUUUCCCUUGCUCCAGGCCUGAGCUCCUAAAAGAUUCUCAGCCUCUCAGUGGACUUUGCAAAUCCCGGGCUGUCCCGUUGACAACACAUGCAGCCAUUAAUGCCGAAGAGUAUGAUGCCAAAAGAUUAUUAUAAUGAUAACAUGGUUGUGUAACAACUACUUAAAUGAUGGCAUUUAUGAACUUAGCUGUAAUGUGGGAUGGCGGGCACGUGAACAGCCAAUGCACUGGCUUGAAUCAUGUGAUGUUGGCGUUAGAUAAGGAGCAUCGAUUCGGCCCGAAAUCUCAUCUGGGCCCGAUUUUCUACCAUGGAAGAGUGGUGGUUCUAAAAGGAGACAGUAGCGGGCCGAAUUGGUCCCCAAACUGUUGUAGAAAGCCCGAAAAGUUCCGGCCCGUUCUUCCCACCGCAUGAGGGCAGCUGAUGCUCUUAUAUGGCGGGCCGGGCUUUUCUUCUAAGAGCCCGGGACAAGCCCGAAUUCCGUGGGGAGGAGGGAGAGGGAUGGGUGCUCUUGCCUGUAGGAAGCGCCGUAGGGGCCUCGCACCGCCGGGGGCUGCGUGGGUGCGGAGCCACGGGGUGCGCCGCCACGCGACCGCGCCGUCACUGCCGGCGGUGACUUUCCGGCCGGCGACCACGAAUUCCGCUAGCCACAUGCCAGGAACCAUCUGCCAGAGAACGAAGCAGCCCUCGUAACAGGCGCCGCCUGCUGCCGGUCGGUGCUCGUCGGAGACCGUGGCCAUCUUCAACUUCCCGGAGGCGUAGAUGCUCUUCACCACGCCGGCCACCCCGGCGCUCCCCGUCGUCGCCUGGAACUGCCGGAGGAUGUACUGCGCCCUCGACGACACCUGAAUUAAUGAUGGAAGGGGAGAGAAUGCAAGCACUGUUGGAUGUAGAAUAUUGCGACGAACAGUAUCGUAUUGUAUCACGGCAUGAAUCAAUCCAAGUUUGAGCUUCAUAUACCUCCGGCGAUGGCGGUGACCGGGGGAGCGGCGGGAGGUCAACGGGAGAGAGGGGGCAGCCGAGGACGCUGAGGAGGACUCUGAGGUCGCCGUCGCGGGGCCUCUUCUGGAAGAACUGGGGCAGCCUCUGCAGGAUGAGCCCACGGAAGGGAUUGACCUUCUUCUUGCCUAGCUUCUCGGGGCCCUCCUCGCCGAUGGGCUCUUCCGACACCGGAGCGAGUUGACCGACCAUGAAGGCGCCAGCGACGCUCUCUCCUCUCCUAUCCGUCUGGCUCUGGUCUCUGGUCUCUAGUCCAGGGAGAAAGAAGGCGGUGUCCCUGGUAUUGGGAAAGGGGAGUGGAGUCGUUAGGGAGGGGGGACUUUGAAGGGUGGCAAGGUGGUAGUUGGGGGAUGGGGCCGCGGGGGUAGGCCGUGGGUCGGGCCAUCCCACAUCACGAUGAAGAGGCGGCGGCUGUCACUAGAUCCUCGGUGUCAGGCCCGCCGGUUCGUACGUAAGCACCAUGUAGAACAUGACUCAACGUGUCUAUUUAUAUUCAAGAGAAUGAUGAUCCUGUAUGACUCUCUCUCUCUCUCUNNNNNNNNNNNNNNNNNNNNNNNNNNNNNNNNNNNNNNNNNNNNNNNNNNNNNNNNNNNNNNNNNNNNNNNNNNNNNNNNNNNNNNNNNNNNNNNNNNNNNNNNNNNNNNNNNNNNNNNNNNNNNNNNNNNNNNNNNNNNNNNNNNNNNNNNNNNNNNNNNNNNNNNNNNNNNNNNNNNNNNNNNNNNNNNNNNNNNNNNNNNNNNNNNNNNNNNNNNNNNNNNNNNNNNNNNNNNNNNNNNNNNNNNNNNNNNNNNNNNNNNNNCUCUCUCUCUCUCUCUCUCUCUCUCUCUCUCUCUCUCUCUCUCUCUCUCUCUCUCUCUCUCUCUCCUCUCUCUCUCAACCUUAACGGGUUUUAAUUUCUCUCAAUGACAUAAAUAGUUUUAAUGGAAAUUUCCUAAGUUUUCAUGUGGCAUACAUAUAGGAUAAGAUCCAAUAGAGUAUGUUCUUGAUUUUGGGCAAGAAAAACAUGUAACAAAUCAAAUUUUGUAGAAAAUGUAUCUCAAAUGAUCAAUUGUAAAGGGAUUUGAACAUAAUAAUUUACUAAAAAUGAGUAAAUUUUGUUGAUACGUAUUUUUAAUUUGAACUAGUUUUUCAAUUACUUCUAAUGAUGAAUUUGUAAGAAAUAAAUCGCAGAAUGACAUUCAAAAAAUAAAACAAUAAUAUCCUGAUAAUUUUCAAACUAGUAUAUAGUCAUCUACCUACGCCAAGUCAGUCAUGGACUCUGCCAAUUCCAACCCAAGUCUUAUUAUCUUUUAGAAAUUUCUGAAUGAAGCACAUUGUAGAGAAAGAUCUAAAAGAGGGCAUUACGAUGUGCAUAAGCAAAACCUAACCAAUCCCUGAACAUUCAUAUGUAGGCAGGAGAGAGAGAGAGAGAGAGAGAGAGAGAGAUUAGGGGGAGAGAGAUGAGCUGUCACUUGAUUUAGGGUAAGAUACUCCCACAGAUUGAGAAAGAAGCUCAAGAUAGUUGAAGCAUAUUUUGGGUUGAUGGCUUUGGAAACCUUAGGUGUUUCAGCGCAGAUCACAAUAUAUUGACCAUAGUUUAGCCAAAUGAUUAAAUAUAUAGCUGCAUAUCUUAAUUUCUCAUGGAUGAUUCGCUUUAACCUAUCAUCAAGCUUAUGGAUUUAGCUUUUGAAAAAAGAAAAGCACAUGUUACUUGGCCUAUGUCUAAGGCAUCAUGGAUCCUAUCAUUGGGCCACCUAUUGAGAGAAAUCAAAUUGGUUAACAUAACUACUCGUCAAUUGUGUUGGAUCAAGUUGUUGGAUAUAGGCUAAGGGUUGUAAAUAUUAAUUAUGGAACUGUCCAUUAAAUAAGAGUAAAUGGUUUAAUGGAUGAACCAGAUUGUUGGACUACUUGCACAAUAUUUUUGAUCUUGUAAUCGGAGCUGCCAAUGAACCUAACUAGAUGAGACAAUAGAUCUAUCUACUGGGUGCUUCAAAUCAAAUUGUCAGACUAGUAAACAAACUAUCUGCCAAGAAGUUGGAAUGAAUGUGCUGUCUUGGAUCUAGAGCCAUCAAUGCAUGAUGUUUGUCCAUUAGGGUAAUUGGGUUUAUUUAUUCCAUAAUGUAGACCUUAAAUCAACUCUUGAAAAGAGGCAGGUAAUCAUUAAAAAGAUUCAUAUAUUAUGGCACACUGCAGCCAUGAUAAGAUGAGAAAAUUGGCCAUUAUCCAUCAAUUGGAAGCAACUCAUUCCUCGCCCAAUAUGUGCAGUGGAUACAUAUAUGCUAAAAAAUCAGAGAAACCCUAGUGAGACAAAAAAGAAGGAUUAAUUAUAGUUUUUUGGAACCUAGAUGCAAAGCAAAAGAGAGAAGGGGAAUAUUUUAAGAGCUAACAUACAUAAAUGUAUCAACCUAAACCUACAAGAAAGAGGAAAUGUCUUCAGGUCAUGUAUUAUAGUCUCUUCCACUCAAAGUUUCCACAUCAUCCAAAUUGAGGAAGAUGGUUCAUUAAGUUUGGGAAUGUAUGUAUAAAUUUUUACAUGUUGUGCAGUUAUGUUGUGACAAAAUUAGGCUCACCUUAAGUCGUGAAUCUAAAAGAAAAGAGUAAAUUAUCCCCUAAUUGGACCAUCUUGAUCUAUGAAUUGAGAAGAUGAUUUCUAAGUGAAGCCUUGAGUUGUAAACCACUAAGAACAUAGUGAAGACAAUGAAUGGUAUCCGUAGAGAGUGAGUAGGUUGAGAAAACUAAACCACUAUAAAUCAUGUUGUAAAUUGGGAUUACUUUUUGUGAUUGACUUUGAGAUCAAAGUCAAGAUUAAUUCAAUAAAAAUACUAGAUGCUCAUCAAAUUAAAGAAAUUCCAAGUUCAACCCUUUGAGGCUAUUCCUUUGAAAUAUAAUAAACCAAAGUAAAAUAUGUGUAAUGUGUUCAUUAAUGGAUGAAGUUAUUAGUUGAAUUUUUAAAGUAUAUAUCUUUAUCCUUCCACUAGGAGGAAUAUUCGGCCAUCAAUUGUGUUAUUAUUGUAGAAUUUCAUAGUGAUUACACCAUUUGCAUUCAUUUUCUUAAAAAAUAAAAAUAAAAUUUUCAUUAAUUUUGGUUAAAUGCCUAAAUUCAAAAGAUAACAUCAAGUAUUGGCUCAUAUAUAAUUAAGAUCUAAAGUAUGUCGAUAUAUAUACAUAUGGACAUACUUUAAUGAAACUAUAUCCAUAUAUAUAUGUAUGAAACAUAAAAAUAAUUCCUAAUAUUUUUUUGCGAAAUAAUAUAAGACACUAUUUUACCAAAUAAAUUGUAAUGUCUACAUCCUCCAAAGUAAAGUAGUCAUAAACUCUGCUGCAGGGAGUUAAUGUCAUAGGGUGGGACUGGGCAGGACUGGGCAAGCCUAGGUUUUGCUUUGGCCAGCCCAAGCUCAUGUCCUCUAACAAGGGCCAACUUUUAUGGUAUUUGCACCAAGAAAGGUCAACUAGUGAUGAUUCACAGCUAUGAUCUGGGUCAACUCCUAUUAGCUUUGUGCAUCAACACAAGUCUUGAAUUUGUGACGUCUUCCAUUAUGAGGAAAUUGAGAGUGUCUAAUACAGUGACUUGGCACUAACAAGUCCACAGCUAUAGGUAUUGCGCCUGUUGAACUUGAACAGGGGAGAUUUAUUUUUUAUAAUCUCAAUUGUUAGAAUGAUUAAUAGGUAUCUUGUGCAUGGGUUUCUAGUAAAAUAAUAGUUUUUAAUAAGGGAAAAAAACCCUAAAAUUCACGACAAUAAGGAGAGUUGAAAUCUCAAAUAUAUAGGUGUAAAUAUGGAAAAGAAAAUAACCUAACCUAUUGUGUGCUUAUCUUCAGAUUUUUUGUUUAAUAUAAGGGUUGACUCCUCUUCCAAAGUCGUUAAAGUUUUCCCCGAUGAAUCCCAAGGAAAAUCCGGCCGAGAGCGUGGUCAAAAUAAGGGAGAAAACGGAUGAUAGGAGAACUCGGUCGUUGGAUCGCUGCUAUCAUUAGUAAUUCGCUGUACAUACAAAACAAGAGUCGAUGGGCUCCACAGAUAGACCGCAAGGCCCCCGCUUGGAUGCGUCCAAUCAUCAUCAUAUUUCGACGCAGCAGCCCGACUGGACGAAGGUCGAGAACUCCUCCGGCACCCCCCCCAGCGCCUCCAGCCUCACCCGCCUCCCCUCGCCCACCUCCGCCCAGUAGAACCCUACCGCCCCCGCCCCCGGCGCCGCCGAGCCCAUCACCAGCACCCUCUUCCCCGCAGCCACCGCACAGGUCCCCGCUCUCACGGAGGCGCUCUCCUCCGCCCAGCAGACCAUCCCCGCCGCACAGCUCCUCGGGCACCGCCCCUCCGACCACGCCCCCUCCACCCUCCGCCACCUCCCCGUCCUCACGCAGUAGGCCUCUACGCUGCCGCUGAACCUCCCCUGCCCCUCGGUGGCGUACCCGCUGACGACCCAAAACUCCUCCUCUUCCUCCUCCGCUCCGCCGCCGUCGCCGGCGGCGGCGACCGCCAGGCCUUCGCAUUCGUCCCGUUCGUCCGCCAUCGGCGGCAGCUCCUCCCACGAGUCCUCCCUCACACGGUACGCCCACGCAGACCGCAGCGCGUUCUUGUUCCCGUCGUGUCCGCCAGCGACGAACACUGUGCCCCCGGAGGUGCCCGCGCAGGCGAAGAAGGAGCGCGCCGCCGGCAUGUCCGCGCCGCGCCGCCAGCGGCUGGUGCAGAAGUCGAAGACCCACACCGCGCGCAGCGGCUCCCAGGUGAACGGGUCCCAUCCCCCCAUCGCCACCAGCCUCUCCCCCGCGCCGGCCAAAUGGCAGAAGAGCGGCAGCCCUGUGGGGUACUCGGGGAUCUCCGGCAGGCGGCCCCAGGAGGACGUCUCCGGGUCAAAGAGGGUGAUGCCGUACGCCGGAGCGCCGCCAGUAUUCCCUGGUUUCCGCCGCUCCACCGCCUGCGACGGCGGCGGCGCCGACUCCUCGCCGCCGCCGCCGCCGCCGUCGGAAAUGGGGAGGACUUGCACCAGACAGACCAGGGCCCGCGUGUACCCCCUGCGUUUCCUCUGGCGGUAAAACUCCGCGUCCUCCACCAGAGACCUCCACCGCCGGCAGACGCCCCUCGAGGCGCUGAGACUGCCGUAGGGGAGGCGAAGGAGGCACUCCAUAGCGAUCUCCUCCGGCAAGCCUGGGAUCAAUUCCGUCGUCCCUUCCACGAAAACCAUCGUUAAAAGAACGGUGGCGCCGCCGAGCACUGCUCUCGUAUGCACCCGGCUUAGAUUCUCGGAGGAGAAUUUAUGGAGGCGGGCGGUGGCGCCUCCGAAUGUACCAGCGGUGGAAGGAUAAGGACAUUAUGAAGAGGAUAAGGAGGAGACGCCGGAGACGACUGGGCGGCGGAUUCGGAGACCAGCCGGCGACGAUAAGGCCGGCGGAGCUCGACCCCUGAGUUAAUGGUGGAGCCGUCGGUGGGAGGGGGGCCGUAAUACAGUUGGAAGACGUGACCCCUCCUGCCGCGUGUUGCCACAAAGAGGACCCAAUCAACGGGCCCGCCCUUCGGAAAAAUCUGUGCGCUAAUUUUACGAUAAACCCCCAUCAAGGAUCUCUCAUAAACUGCCAGCACGGCACCCUGAAGAUCCCCGUUCCUCUUUUAGGGCGUUAAUGACUUAGGUUGACCAGCCAGGACUCUAAAUGGGCCAAUUUGGGCCGUAGCUUUCUAAGCCUGACUUCGGCCCGGGUGCCAAGCCUAGAUAUAGCCCUUAAACUAGUUGCUGGGCAUUUAUUCAUAGGGAGAGAUUGGAAUGGACAAGUGUGGAUAUUUUUCUCACAAUUGGAUGCUCCCAUAUUAUUUUUUAAUGCCCUUAUUAAAGGAAUGACUCACCUAGCACACUCAAUGCCACCCCUUGGAUAAUACUUUUCUACAAUUUUUUAAAAAUUUUAUCGACGAAAAUAGUAGUGCUAAGGGAGAUAGGUUAUAAUUACGGUAUUGUGAUCAUGAUCAAUCAUCAAUCCAAUUAGAAUGAUCAGCAAUCUGAUCAGCCAAAACUGCUAAUCAUGAUUCUUGAUCUAAUUGAUCAGGUGAUUAUUAUUUAAUAUUAUUGUAUUACAUAGGUGAUGAGGUGAUUGAGUGCUUAAAUAUUAUACAUAAAAUAUAUAAUACCUAUAUUAAAUCUAUAUAUUAGGCCCAAGUUUUAACUUUAUUAAGACAUAUAUUAUGUCUAAUAACUAUAUUAAUAUAUAUUAUGCUUCAUAAUAAUACAUAUAGAUAUAUUAGCCUUAAUUCUUACCUUUAUUAAUAUAUAUAGUGAAAUUAAAUGAACUUACUUUCCAACCUACAUAAAUUAGAUUUCUAGACAUACCAUUUGUGGCAUGUGAGAAGGGCCCAUGCAGUCUAAAGUUAAAGCUUCCUAAUAUACAAUGAACUUGUUUACGAACUUUGUUAAUGAGAGAGAGGGAGAAAGAGAGAAAGGGGCAAGAAAGAGAGGGGUGAGAGAGAGAGAGAGAGAGAGCGACAGUGGUGAAGCUAGUAGCAAAGGUGAAGCUGGCAUAGAUAUUUAAUCUCUCUCUUGUUCAUGUGAAUUGUAACCAUUGGAUGAUAAAAAGUCAUCAUCCAACAGAUGGUCAACUCUAGCUAUUAAUUUGUCGAUUGAUGAUCAGUUGAUGACCUAGAUCAUGAUCGUGGUCAUUUUCCAUGACCGUGAUGGUCAAUAGAUCAAUCAUGAUUGUCAAUCUGACAAUCAAUUCAUCGUGGUCACAAUACUCUAGUUAUAAUAAGGCAUUUGAAGCUUUUCCUUUCUAUGAAUUAUUAGUGUAGAUUGGGUUAGUAUAAGUGAUGAGUUAGUAUCUAGUUACUCGUGUAAUUACAUGAUCUACUAUAAAAUCUAGUGUUGAGCCUUUACAUUGAGAAAAGUGUUAAGGAGAUGAUUGAGUCAAUCUACAUUGAUUCUCUUCGAGAAAGUGAGAUCUUAGGCACAUGCUAAAGACCCUUUUGAGAAUGACAAAGACGGUAUGUAAUAGAGAUUGAAGUUGGGGUGGUCAACUCUUCAAAGGCAUUGUAGGUACUUACCAAACAAGGUGGAUUAUGUAUGGUCAAUUUAGCCGAUGUGUCAUUUGGCCAAGUGGGUCAACAUAGACCAUGUAAAAUCCAACUUAGAGCCCACAUCUUGGGCUUGUGUCUUAUAUGGGCAGAGUCUGGGCCUAGAGACUGAUAUUCCGACUAGGUAUGAUGUUGGCAAUGACCAUCAAGGAAUAGUCAACAUCUUUGUCUCAUAUCUCUUUCACUUUAGGUCAGGGAUUGCAAUCAAUUGACGGAAACCAUAUGAAUUCAUUUGAAAAUCGUGCUAGCAAGAGGUACGUUUGACCUACUCUCCCAAUCAUUUUUUCUACAAUGCUAAUCCACCAAACUCUUACAAAAAAAGUAUUUAAUUGAAAAAUGGCAACAGAAGCAUACAAAUUCUUGAUGACAUGAAAUAAUUAAAAAUGUUAAGUCAAUUAUGGGUCACCAUCAAAGAUGUUUAGUGAGGUGGAGCAAUCUAUGAAUUAUGCUAAUGGGAAGCAAAAGCCCGAAGCCCACAUUUAGUAAUGUUAGGUUUCCCCAAAGUCACCAAAUACCCUUGUUACCGUCCUCCCAAGGCCAGUUUCCGGGGCUUUCCUCGGGCCCAUUCCAGGUUCGGGCUUUCAUAAAGCCCUGCCUAAUUGGCACCCUUCUACCUUACAGGUACAUGUUUGAAUCAUUGAUGGGUGGAAGUCCGGCUUCUAGAUAUCAUAACUCAUUGACCGAAGACCGAAGUAAGCCCAACCCAUCUUCUCUCUUCAAGAAUGAACCGAUUACUACAGUGAGAAGUAGAGAGAGAGAGAGAGAGAGAGAGAGAGAGAGAGNNNNNNNNNNNNNNNNNNNNNNNNNNNNNNNNNNNNNNNNNNNNNNNNNNNNNNNNNNNNNNNNNNNNNNNNNNNNNNNNNNNNNNNNNNNNNNNNNNNNNNNNNNNNNNNNNNNNNNNNNNNNNNNNNNNNNNNNNNNNNNNNNNNNNNNNNNNNNNNNNNNNNNNNNNNNNNNNNNNNNNNNNNNNNNNNNNNNNNNNNNNNNNNNNNNNNNNNNNNNNNNNNNNNNNNNNNNNNNNNNNNNNNNNNNNNNNNNNNNNNNNNNNNNNNNNNNNNNNNNNNNNNNNNNNNNNNNNNNNNNNNNNNNNNNNNNNNNNNNNNNNNNNNNNNNNNNNNNNNNNNNNNNNNNNNNNNNNNNNNNNNNNNNNNNNNNNNNNNNNNNNNNNNNNNNNNNNNNNNNNNNNNNNNNNNNNNNNNNNNNNNNNNNNNNNNNNNNNNNNNNNNNNNNNNNNNNNNNNNNNNNNNNNNNNNNNNNNNNNNNNNNNNNNNNNNNNNNNNNNNNNNNNNNNNNNNNNNNNNNNNNNNNNNNNNNNNNNNNNNNNNNNNNNNNNNNCCCUCCUCCUCUCUCUCUCUAUUUCUCUCUCUUCCUCUUCUGUCUCUCUCUCUCUUGGCAGCAGAAGCAGCAGCAGCUUCUUCAUACCCCCUUUUCCAUUUACCCUCCUCCAGGUUCAGCAGGGGGAGUCGACAGGAUGUGGGGAUCUGCCGCGGGGGCUAACCUCCAUGGGAGAGGUCGCCCUAACAGAUGGAAAGGCGGCGUCGCCACGAGGCUGCGGCCCCUCUUCGUCGCCGCCACCAUUCUCGCCAUCGGGGGCCUCCUCGUUGGAGCCUCGCCAGUGGAGUUCUUCUCCAUGGCCUCCCUCCCCCUCGGGUUCGAGCUCUCUGCACGCCACCGCAGAGUCGGCCUCUCCCAGAACGGCGUCUUCGCCUUCGGGUUCCUCGGUGAGCUCGACGGCGAUGGCGGCGGCGGCGAUGGCCUCCUGGUAGCGGUCUGGUACAACCUCAGCGGCGCCGCCGAGAAGGUUCCCGUCUGGGCCGCCGGCGGCGGGAUCCGGGUCUCCGGCGGCGCCACCAUCCGCCUCUCCACCGACGGCAGCCUCCUAGUCUUCGACGGCCGGCGGGAUGGCUUCGCCGUCUGGAGCAGCAACACGGCGAAUCUAGGCGUCAAGUCGGCCUCCCUCCUUGACGACGGGAACCUCGUCCUCUCCGGCGCCGGCGAGCAGUCCGCCGCUGCCGCCGUCUGGGAGAGCUUCGCCAGCCCCACGAAUACCCUCCUUCCGGGUCAGCCCCUCCGCUUCCCUCGGUCCCUCCGAGCUCUCCCCUCUGCCGGCGGCGCCGCCAGCUCCUACAGCUUGACUUUCACCCGCUUGGGGGAGAUCUCCCUCGUGUGGGAGGACAAUGUAACCUACUGGAGCAGCGGCGCCAUGAACGCGCCCGCCGCCAUGGUUGAAGCGAGGUUGCAGCCCGACGGCCUAUUCGGCCUAUUCGACGCCGGCGGCGGCGCCGUCUGGUUCAGGCUGAGCGUGGACUUCAAGGACCCGACGGUGCCGCUCCGCCACCUGAGGAUCGACCUCGACGGGAACCUGCGGAUCUACUCCUGGGCGGCGGCGGAAUCCUCGUGGAAGAUCAGCUGGCAGGCGGUGCAGAAUCAGUGUGACGUCUUCGGCUUCUGCGGGCUAUACAGCCUCUGCGGCUUCAACUCCUCCGGCCCGGCCUGCAAGUGCUUAGCGGCGGCACCGCCAAGCUCCGAAGGGUGCGGAAGGAUCGCCGAUCUGGGGAGCUGCGGCGGCGCCGCCGUCGCCAUGAGAGCCCUCGAGAACACCGUCCUCCACAGCCUGUACCCUCCUCGCGACGCGGAGGCCCUGAUGAGCUCCGAGGCCUGCCGGAGAUACUGCCUCAACGAUAGCUCCUGCUUUGCCGUCACCGUCAAGAACGACGGCUCCGGCCUCUGCACCAUCAAGCGGAGCAGCUUCAUCGCUGGCUACAGCUACUCAGCCGUCGCGGCGACCUCGUUCUUGAAGACCUGCCUGGUCCCUCAGGCGGUCUCCGGCACGACGGCGGCGGCGGCGGUGGCGGUGGCGUCCCAAGGAUUCCACGGCGGGGCCGUCGACUCUCGGCGGCACCGCCGGGAUUCCACGGCGGCGAUCGCGCUGGUCCUGCUGAUCACCGCCGGGGUGUUUCUGACGGCGGAGCUGCUCUUAUUCUGGUUCGUGGUUCGCCGGAGACGGCGGCGGUUCGACGCCGGAGACAUACGACGGCCGGUUACAGUGGCGGAGGAGUUGCAGGUGAAGAUGCUCCACGGCGAUCUGGUGAGGCUGUCGAUCGAAGAGGUGGAAAUUCUCACCGGAGGUUUCAGGGCGAAGAUCGGCCCGACGGUAUUCAAGGGUUUUCUCUCUCAUCGCGCCGCCGUAACGGCUAAGUUGCUCACCGGUGCAGUAAUAAGUGAGAGAGAGUUCCUGAACCAGGUGGUCGCCCUGAGCAGAGCCGGUGGCCACCGGAACCUCGUCGCCAUGAAGGGCUUCUGCUUCGAUUCCGAGAAGAAGAUCCUGCUGUACGAGUACGUGAGGGGGUGCUCCCUCGACCGGUGGCUGGCCCGGCGGCGAGUCGACCGUUGCGACGGCGGAUGGCGGCGGAGGAUGAACGUUGCGGUGGGGGUGGCGAGGGCCCUCCGCCACCUACAUCUAGGGUGCAAGACCUCCAUCGCCCACGGGAACUUGAAAGCGGCGAAUGUCCUCGUCGUCGACGGCGAUCUGGCGGCGAAGGUGGCCGACUACGGCCUGCAGAAACUCCGGCAGCCGGUGACGGAUUCCUCGCCGGAGAACUCGCCGGAGAGGGACAUAUUCAUGCUGGGGGUCAUCCUCCUCCAGCUAGUCUCCGGCAAGGGAGGAGCGGCGGUUGGGGAGCUGUACAGUUGGGCAUCCAGGGCUUGCCGAGAGGGGGAACUGGAAGGGUUCAUCGACGGGCGGUUGAAGGUCAGCGCCGAGGGCGGCGAUGGCGGAGAGGAGAGAGAAACGGUGGAGAGGGCGACGAGGCUGGCUCUGUGGUGCACGCAGGAGAGCCCCAAGCUCAGGCCUUCCAUCGCCGAGGUGGUCGCCGUGCUAGAGAGCUCUCUCUCUCUAGAACUCCCGCCGAGCCCGUGACGCCAUCGUCUUCUUCCUGGUGCCCAUCUGAGAGACAGCUCGAAGCUCGCUGGUGAGGGAUUUGAACAGCUUUUCCAUUGACAUGCUGAGAUGGGUGCUCCAGAAAACCCGGUCUCAGCAAGUCUGCAACUCGGGCUCUUCUUGCCGGUGCGAGGUGCAGGGAGACGUUGCAAGGUGAGCUCUCCCUCGUCUGAUGAGGAUUAAUACCUUGUGAGGCAAUAUAAUCUCCAAUAGAGGUUUUACCCCCAUCUUUCUAGUACAAAAAAGCCCACAUCUGAAAAAAUCUCUCUCUCUCUCUCUCUCUCUCUCUCUNNNNNNNNNNNNNNNNNNNNNNNNNNNNNNNNNNNNNNNNNNNNNNNNNNNNNNNNNNNNNNNNNNNNNNNNNNNNNNNNNNNNNNNNNNNNNNNNNNNNNNNNNNNNNNNNNNNNNNNNNNNNNNNNNNNNNNNNNNNNNNNNNNNNNNNNNNNNNNNNNNNNNNNNNNNNNNNNNNNNNNNNNNNNNNNNNNNNNNNNNNNNNNNNNNNNNNNNNNNNNNNNNNNNNNNNNNNNNNNNNNNNNNNNNNNNNNNNNNNNNNNNNNNNNNNNNNNNNNNNNNNNNNNNNNNNNNNNNNNNNNNNNNNNNNNNNNNNNNNNNNNNNNNNNNNNNNNNNNNNNNNNNNNNNNNNNNNNNNNNNNNNNNNNNNNNNNNNNNNNNNNNNNNNNNNNNNNNNNNNNNNNNNNNNNNNNNNNNNNNNNNNNNNNNNNNNNNNNNNNNNNNNNNNNNNNNNNNNNNNNNNNNNNNNNNNNNNNNNNNNNNNNNNNNNNNNNNNNNNNNNNNNNNNNNNNNNNNNNNNNNNNNNNNNNNNNNNNNNNNNNNNNNNNNNNNNNNNNNNNNNNNNNNNNNNNNNNNNNNNNNNNNNNNNNNNNNNNNNNNNNNNNNNNNNNNNNNNNNNNNNAGAGAGAGAGAGAGAGAGAGAGAGAGAGAGAGAGAGAGAGAGAGAGAACUUUUGGCCAGCGGAGGUUGCCCGGAGUUUAAACGAGGAUCAAACGGGCUGCUCCAAUGGCAACGAGCAGGGCCGAGAAGAAGAAGAAGGCGAACGCCAGGCAAUGCUCCGUGAAGAGCAUCCCUCCGUAAGAAUCCCCUGCUUCAUCAAUCAUGUAUAAUUUAGUUUGGAGAAGUUCUCUCCCUCUCUCUCUCUCUCUCUCUCUCUCUCUCCUUUAUGGGGAGAAGCCCGAAGCGUGGCAAGGCGGAAUCUGCAUUGAAGCCUUUGGGGCCCACCCACGGGGGAGGGGAUGCCACGUGUCGGAAAACAGAACCGUUUGUUUUCUUUUAUUCUUACCUAAAGAGCGUAACCCAUUUUCCAACCUCUGGAAAGGAGCCUUUCGCCGCCGGCGUAGGGAAAAUUACUGAUAAACCCCUAAUAAACUUCACCAUCACUCAGCAACCAAGUCCGGCAUCAGAUUCCCCCCAACCCCCUUUUUCAGAUUUCAUCCUUAUCCCCUUAAAUUAUUCUGGGGCUCCCCAGUAGAUUUAGACAAUUGAAACUAAUCGUAGGGAGUUAUUUGCAAAAAAAGAGCCCUCUGACUGGAUCCGGAAGAUCAAUGGGCCUGCUGCGUAACUCCCUCCUCGUCGUCGCCGUCGUCGUCAUCAUCAUCAUCAUCAUCAUCUCAACGUUUACAGGAAAAGUAGAAAACCAGAGCGAACUCUCCCGGCGACCUCGGCUUUCAGAAGACUCAGCGGCUAAGAAAACCCUAGAACAGCCUCUCAGAACACCCGGACCGGCUUCCCCAUGGUGCUCUUCAGGUACAGGCACCUGACCUGCUCCAUGCAGGCAAGAGGUUAGAGAGAGAAAGGGAACGAGUCAGAGGGAGAUUAGAGAGAGAGAGAGAAGGGGAAACAGGGCUUACGUUCUGCCAGUUCUUCUUGAGGAGGGAGACGAGGAAGUUGACGGAGAGCUGCACGUUCUGGAAGAUCUGCUUCUCCUCCAUCCCGCAGUUGCCCACGGCGACGCCCAUGCAGAGGACCUUCUUCAGCUGGAACUUCACCAUCGCCUUGGUCUCGUUGACCUUCGACUCCAGGGAUUCCUGGUGAGUCACCAAUGUCGGAAACUUCCCUGCGCGCACCACCCCCCCAAAACGGGAAAGGUCAACCUCACCCGAGAUAGUAAAGUCAACUGGGAAGGGCAGGGCGGAGGAGGGUGUGGGCUGACUCGCCUGCCUUGUUGAGCCCGGGGCCCAGAAGCCUGGGGAUCUGCUUGAUGAUGGCCUCGGAGGCGAGGAAGGCAUGGUACUUCUUGGCGAGCUUCUUCACCAGCUUCUUGUUCUUGUUCAUCUUCUUCAACCCCUCCACGUCCAUGUACUCCAACCCAAUCUUCUCCGCCUGCACAAGAACAAACCCAAGCCCUAACCCUAAUUCUUCCGGGGAUUUUUUUUUCCUUCUCUUUUAGGGUUCUUGGCAAAUUAUAGCCCACCAACCUCUUCGACGUGCUGGGCGUCUCCCAGCAUGCAGACCUUCAUCUUGGGGCGGGGGAUGUGGGGGAGCUUCACCGAGCCACUGAAGCGCUUGUCCUUCUGGGGGUCGUAGUUCUUCAGGCCGAUCUGCAGCUCGAUGGUUUCCAGGAACUUCCUCUUCUUCUCUCUGGAAUCGGUGGUGACCUGGGUGAUGGCUUCCCUCAGCACAUCACUCUGCAGCUUGCUGCAGAUCGAACAGAUCGCAAAACAUAAAUUAAUUAAGCUAAAAACAAGAUCAUAGUAAAAAUUACAUCUAUCAAGAGUAUCUGAGCUAGCUGUUAAGAUGGCAUGAACGCGGCGAUUUGUUGGAUGUGAUCGGGAGAGAACAACAAGAACACAUGAUGGAUGGGGAGACCAGGAUCAAGAAUCGAAAAAAUAAAAAAAGUAUUUGAAGUGAAUUUCGAGUCAAUACCACAUCAAUGCAACCAUAAAUAUUUAUCGUUGGCAUCAUCGUUACUGGAAGUAUAUCCCUAGAAAACUAAAUAGCAUAGAAAACUACCAGCUUCAUUUGAGAAAUUCCGGAAUAGGGUAUAGAAUAUCAGGUUGGGAACCAGAUCCGACUCCUCUCAAUAUUAAAAUGAAAAUCAAAUCCCAUAAUUAGGCUUAGAACAAAAAUAGGAUUGCAAAAUUCAUAUAUGAAAUGGCGCAACAUAAACCCAGAUCUGGGAACAGGCGAAUUGGGGCAGAAUCUCAAAAACAUAAAGCGGUUCAAUCAUAUUUAUUCAGCUGGCCGAUCAUGACUGACCCCGUCUUGAACAAUAAGAGGCCUAUUUGCAAGCCAUGUUGGCGAAAAUAGGUCAAACGUAAAGGACUACUGGUUAGCAUGCACAUAUCGCCAAGCUCGACCUAAUUCCAAACAUACAGGCUUGUAGAAGAGAGUAUCUAUGAACAUCUAAUGUACAAAAUGCCUACAUAUGAACGGAAAAUUGAGAUAGUAGAAAAAUUAAUGGAAAACGAAGAUAAGUACGGUGCCAUGAAAUAUAGAAUGGACACAAACAAGAGGACUUGUCUUUAAAAAAAUAAAUUAUAAAAAUACGGCUUCAUUUUCAAUAGCUUUUCAAGCACAUAAUUCACAUCAAAAUUGAAGAUUAUCGUCAACAGGGUUUAGUGCUGGCUCGAGUACUCUAUUAUUUCUCCUUCCGUAUUCUCUGCAGGGCUAGGGUUUACUCCACUCAAUAUCCGUCAUCAGAAGUUAGACUAAUCGUGCAAGCAUAUGUUGAUUGACCAAGAUCAAUCAAGAAGGACGUGCCUUUUCUAUCACUUUCAACCUUAAACAUAUACCCUCCUAUAAUAGAAACGUACCAGGGCUCAGUUUGGCAUACCAUGCACACCUCAGUCUUAAUAUAUGCAAAAAUGGAAGAAGAAUCCAUAUAAGCAUACUAUUUGGGCGACAAAAAAAUGCAUACGGUGAUCCAGUUGCCAGAGAAGUCAAUCUAUUACUUUAAAGUUCAAAGAUAUCAUGAAGCCUUGCAAGUGAAGAUCAACACGCCAAAACCCAAGGUUAGUUCUUGUAUGAUGCAUUGUAACAAAUGGAGUCUGUGUGACACAUAAGAAAACAGUGAUGCGUAAGCUAACGAACAGUAAACUAGUUUGACUGGUUUUCGUCAUUUACGAAAUCAAUUCACUUCCGAUAAGAUAGGCAGUGGUUCGAGAGUCAUUUCCACGAUCAGUUCUCAUCAAUGAAUCAAGAAAAAAUGAAGUUGAAACUAACUCCCCCCUCGAGAACUCACAUUCCCACGACUCCAUCAUUAAGAGACAAUAAAUAGAGAGAUUAUGAUCACGCGAUCUAAUAGAAAAUGAAAAGGCAUUGUCGUUGUAUUUUCCAGGCCACAGAGAAAAAGCAUAAAAUGCCACAUCAACGUCUCCUACCUCAUGGCUGCAGCCCUUCAGCGACCUGCCGUGACCUCUCGUUACCUUCAACACAGAACAAUCUAGGCGUCAGCAAAAGCAGGAAAUCUUUCAAAUGGAACGAACACAAUCCAGACGCUGCCAGACAGACAGGUCAACAGAAUUACGAAGAAAUGCAAAUGAAAAUCGAACCAAAAACAUCUGCUAAAGUUCAUCCAUGACACCCUAUGCUGCUUAGCGAGAGAGCGAGCGAGACAGGGGGAGAGAGAGAGAGAGAGAGCUCACCGGAGGAGAGCCAAACUCCGGGACUCGCAGGCGGCGUCUCCCAAAAAAACCCUAGAUCAACUCGCUCGCUCCCCGCCACUCCGCCCAUAACCAAGUCCUCGGUAGAUCUGGAUCGUUCAUUUUCCAUGAUGCCAUUUUCCCGGGAUGUCACGAAAAUCGAAGUUAAUGGGCCCAUUUACGAUUUGGGCAUUAAAAGGCAACUGCUCCCAGAUAAAUUCGGCCGAGUGUUCCAGAAUCAGGCCCAGAUAAGGACCUAACGGGGCUUAUUUUGAAAGAAGAAAAAUGCCUCAUUCUUCACCUCCUUUUGGGGAAAAAAUUAGACAAAAAUAUUCAGUUUUGUAAAUAUAAAGUAUUAAAAAUUUAAUAAACGGAUGAAUAAACAAUGGAAAUAACAUGUUUCUUGUCUAUGACCAAGGACCUUAUUCAAGGGUUGAAAUCAUGCCCAAGAAAAAAACCCAUCAAGGUUCAAUAUUUUUUGUAAGGCUAGACUUACCAUAGGUUAUAUGUAUCUAUUAGACAUACUUUUUCCAGAUAGUAAGGAUGCAGACACACUUAAGGGUGGUGCAACACUAAGCCUAACCCUUUCUUAAGAGAUAAGUCAUCUUGGUACUAUUAUGACCCGAGUCUAUUUAGCUCCAAAAUUUUUACAAGAUCUAGUGGUAACAUACUCAUUAAAAGGGUUCUAUAUAAACCCAUUACUUUGAACUAUUUCUUUUUUUAAGGUUCGAUUAUGAGUCUCAAAAAUAAUACAUUUUAUCAUCUUUUUUUUCUCAUGAAAAACUUUUUCAAGAUUGAUAGGGCCUAACCUAACUAGGCCUUGUGUUGAAAUCGACAGCUCAAAGCUCCUCGCACCCACCCCACAUCACCAUUCAAAAUGGUGAGAAGGAAAUUAUUACUCAGCUGAUCUAUGUUGAGAAAAGACCAAAAAACUACAUUUGUUGUAAGAAAUUAGGCCACUUCAUGGGUGAAUGCAACAACCUCAAUUGCCCUCAACAGCUCAUUAUCAAAGAGUGGGUCGUCAAAUCCUUCCACACACAACCCCCCUAGCCAAGGGUUCACCUCCCCCCAUUCAGCAAACUAACUAUCACCCAUAAUGAUAUUAUCAAAAAGCUCAUCCUAGGUAAAAGAGAUAACUAAUCAUUAACCAAAAUGACCCACAAAUAGGCCCAAAUCACGGCCCCACCCCCUAUGUAACCCUUACUACUAUGAGAACAAAUCUCUCUACUAGGCUCCCAUCUAGUCCCUCUCUCCUCAUGGCCCCUCUCCCUAGUCACCUCCCACAACACACACCUAUGUGUUCCACUCAAAUCCCACUCAAUAUUACCACUUCUCCCCCAUCAUUGUCGACAAUAUUUAGUAUUGAUGAAAUCAAAAAAGUUAUACUAUCAUUAGCCCAAUUAACAUUUACUACCCCCACCCAACACCCCAAGCUAACUCAACAAAUAAAACCAAGCACCCUUCCCCCCACCCAAAAAAUCCUUAGAAAAGAACCUUACCAACCUCCCUACAACUUGAGGCUGCACAACAUCAUAUAGACAAUAUGCUUCACCCCCAAGAAAUUGAGACCUAAUGAUCAAGAACAAAGACUUCCUAUCUGACAAAGAUUGAGAUGAUUAAUUUAAUUAUCUAAAAUUGUAGAAGUAUAUGAAGCACUAAUACCAAUAAACAACUUUUCUCUUUUAUACCCUAACAUCAAAUUCAUAUAAUUGCCCUUAUUGACCUCCUACUAAAUCCCACAAAGUUAAGUUCAUCCAAUAAUCCUUAGGAAUGUCUUACAUAUGGCAUAACCUCUUUAACAAAAAUGUGAUUCCUGACCAAAUCAACUUAAAUAUAUCACAUGUCCAUAACAUAAACUAAGCAUCAACCUUUAUAUUCAAUAACUAUAAAGUUUUUAUAGUUAUUGAAUAUAAAAGUUUGUCCUUAUUUAAGGGACAUUAUGAUGUGAAAGAAAAAGUGAGAAAAUGUGAAGAGUUCUAGUUGUUGCUCUCUCCCCUCCAUCCUUUAGGACACAGGUAUCAUCUCCAUCUCAUGUAUCUCUUCAUAGAUUUACCUUGUAUAAGCUUAUAUAUCUAUAUAUGAAUGUAGGAGGCAUUUAGCCUCUACAUCAAUCACUCACCCUCCUUUCAAAAUAUCUUUUUACUUUGUCAUUAUUUCUAAUAUGGUAUCAUAAUAGGUUUAAUAUUUUUUACCUCUAUUAUCGCCGUUGUCUCCACCAUUACCUUUAGGGUUUCAUUGAAACCCUAAGGUUCCACCCUUUAUUCAUAUAAGCAAUCUAGUGUCAUUUGUUCUAAGCUACCUAAGGUUUCAUCAUUUAUUCAUGUAGCAUAUCUAGUGUCAUAUGUCUUAAACUAUCUAAAGUUUUCUCUAGUUUGAAGGUUUGCAUUCAGUGAGACCAUGAAGAGAAGCCCAAGCCUACAAUUGAAGAAUGUUAAAGUAACAUCAAAUGAGUGAGUCAAAGAGUUACUAUGGGCCAUCUUUAGUCUAGUGCCACUAGUCCCUGACCACUUAAGAUUUCAUCUUAGUUUGGCAUCACCUUCAUACAAUCCUCACCAAUAGUUUAAGAGCCAUCAUCAUAUAAUCAUCUAUGGUUUUAACAAGCCUAAUUCAAACAAUCUCGCACCACCUAAGAUAUGUGCGAAAAGAUCUUACAAUAGCUAAAGCAAUAGGAUAACAAUGUAGUAACAAAAAGUGUUAAGAUUAAGGAACUCAUUAUGUUGUAUGAAAAGUACCUAACAAUAUGCCAUGUUACUCUAAGAGUUAAAUAAGCUUAGGAGGUGCUCAAAGGCACAAUGUGACAUUAGCGUAAUAAAGGAGUAAGGAGCUAAAGAGCUCAUAAAAGGGGGAAUGUUGUCAACACUAUUAAUCAUAUUUCAUCUAGAGACUCAUCAAAACCUUAAGCCUUUGUCCUAAGUUCUUACUACCUCCUCUUGACAUCUAAGCUCCCUACAUCAAAGGUUUACAUGUGUUGAGACCACGAGCACAAGAGCCUUAUUAUUUAGGAGAGUGUCAACAAAGCUACUAUAGUUGUCAUUGUUUAGUGUUACUAUCAAAGUUAGAGGAGAUAUUGUCACCAUCUUAAGGUUUGCUCCUUAUUCUUUAUAGCCUUGUCUGAUGUCUAUGUCUUUAUGUAUUCAAAAACUUAUCAUAAUGACUAUUUAAUUAAAAUCUAAAUUAGGGUUUCUGGUGCUAAGGUUUUGAAUCUUUAGUCAUCCAUAUAAGGCAUGUGACAUACUUAUUAUUAGAGAUCUUUCGAUGGUAUUAGGAUUUCUCAUUCUUUAUUAUUAAUAGUAAAAAGUUAGUAAGAAUGUGGUCAAAAUUAUUCAAGUGACCUUGAGCUAAAAGUUUUAAGGCUCAAGAUAGUAAUACAAUGAAAAGCUUUCAAAGUACUUGUUGGAGGACACAAAAGAGACUUAUCUUUGACGACGUAACUUCAUAUGUUAAGGUCAACAAAGGGGUUAGCCUUAGAACUUAACAUUUGCUUCAAGUCACUAUACCAAGAACCAAAUUGACCUCUACUCAAAUCUAGAGCACUCAAUAGGUACUAUAUAAAUCCAUAGUCUUCUUUUCAAGACUAUUCAGGUAUAGAGUCAAUGAACUCUCACUAGUAGUGAUAGAAGGAGGAUUCAUAAAAGUUAUAAGAACAAAAGUGUGUUAGACGUUCAAAGAGGUAAAAAAAGCAUCAGAAUGACUAAAGGCUAUUAUAUUUAUAUACUGAAGAAUAGAAGAAAAGAAUAAUUAUAGAAGAUCUAGCAAAAAUCUAGAUGGGCAUGGCAAAGGCUCUAACCAACAACGAGAAGAUAAAUUUUGGAGGUUUCUUACUCCAUCUUCCACCUUAAGAUAUAUCUACUAAGGUUUGAGAGUAAGCCAAAGUAGCACAUGACAAUCCAAAAUAUUGUUUAAAAACUAUCUUUAUGAAUAAGGGAGAGUUCACCAUGAGAGGUAAAGAAAGAGAUAAUUAUGAUAGUUACAAGAGUCAAAGAACUUGAGAUGAAGGACACAACAAGUGUCAAGAUAGAGCCAAGAAUAUUAAGAGGCUUAAGAUCAAAUGAGAUAGAGUAUAAGAGAGGGUUAUACUACAAAAGUUACAUGCAAUUGAAUCCUAUAGAAUCAAUAAUAAAAAUUGAAGAGUCAAGAGCCACAAUAGGGCUUCAUGUGGUCAAAGAGCUUAUUAGCAAAUGCAAGAGACACACAACAUCAAGUCUUGCUAUACUUAAGCAAUAUAAGUGUUAGCUCUAAAGCUAAACCUUGUACGUUGUCAUCAGACUUAGAAGUCCAUCCACCUUUUUAUCUUCAUGUAAGAAGAGAGUCAAAAAGUUUUUGAGAGGAGAAAUGAAAAGAAAAUAUCAACAAAAAAGGUAACGACACCAACUCAAACAUUAGAGGCAAGAUGGAGAUAAGAAAAACCUUAGAUGAAGUAAAAAGAGUUUGUAAAUAAGAUUAGGAAGAACAAAAGAUUAUAAGAGAUAACAUCCACUAAUAUAUUGUAUGUUCUAAUGAAUAUACCUUGAGAGACACAUAAGAGCUCAUUUAAUGAAGCAAAAUUCUAUGACUUGAGCUAGAGGAGUAAUAAUCAAAAUGUAAAGAGCAUGAGGUAAAGAGUUAACAGACACAACAUAUGUUGUAAGAGUUGAAGAGUCAAUAGCUAUGACAACUACAACAAGAGUUAAGUCAUGAUAUGAGAUAUGGUUGAAGCUAUAGGAGUAGUAGGUAAAGUGUAAGAAAAAAUUUUAAAAAUAUGUUUAUACAAAUGCGCAUCAAGACCCAAAAAAGUUAGUCAAAAUGUAAUAUUUGAAGAAGCAUAAGAAGAUUGUAUGAGCAUUAUAAUGAAUAUCUUAAAGUUAAAAUAAACUUCAAGAGAAGUUUGAGGGGGCAGUGUUAAGAAAUAGAAAGGUAUUUUGGUAAUUAUUAUACUAUUUUUUGUUCAUAUUUAAGAAAUAUUAUGAUGUGAGACAAAAAUUGAGAAAGUGUGAGUAAUUUAAACGACAACUCUUUCUCAUCUAUCCUCUAACAAGGUUUUAUCUCCAACUCAUAUAUCUCCCUAGAUUUACCAUGCAUAGGUUUAGGUGUCUAUCUAUGAAUGUAGAAGACAUUUAGUCUUUUAAUCUAUCAUUCAUCCUCUUUUCACAAUAUCUUAUUUUACUUCGUCAUUAUUUCCAACAACAACAAUAAGAAAAUCUCUACUACACUAUUAUUUAUGUAUCAUACAAAUCAGAAGUUUAUACAUCUUUCUAAUCAUACCUCCUCAAAAUAAUAUUUGGCACCACUCAAUCCUAACUCAUUAGAGGGGAUUUCAACAUUAUUAAAAAUUGUUAUUAAAAAGUCAAAGCCACAAUCAUCUACCUUUCUAUGAUGAAAGAUUUCAAUUCACGAUCAUCCAAGUUGAACUAGAAAAACCAUGUCACCUUGAAAAUUGCCAAACAUAGAAAAUAGUUGCAAUGAUCUAAGCAUAAUAUAACAAAGACUAGACAUUUGUCUCACUAAUUCUUUAAACUAGCACGAUUUCUAUACUUCAAUGAAAUAUCACCACAAUUCCUUCUUUGAUCAUGUUAUUAUCAUAGUCAAAGAGAGUAAUAUCGGUAAAACAUGACCUUCUUUAUUCAUCUUUAAAUCUAUGUGAUUGAGACACUUAGAUUUCCUCUUCUAAUUCCAAACUAGUUGGGGGGACAAAUAACUCUAAACUUAAAAACCUCAAAGGUCAACUCAAGUGAUAAAAUCAAAACAUGUUUAGCGACAUAAAUAUGAAAACAAACCAACUAGUAACCUAAACCCAACAUCUAGAAGAGUCUUUCAACAAACAAUGAUAUGAAUUUAUGGCUCUCACCCUAGAUAACCUCAAAUUAGAACUAAGAGAAGUAUUAUCAAUGACCUCUCCAAUAAUUUUUAAAGUUUUUGUAGAGUACCACAUUAGUUCAUUAAAAGCCUUUUAGGGGUUUCAAACCUAUUUAAGUAUCAUAUGAGACUUCUACUAUCAAAUGAUGAAAACUUACAUUACAUAAUAUGGGGCAAUGUAUUAUUAACUAAUAACAUAAGAUUGAUGCUUUCUUUUUAAUUAAACAGUUAUAUUCAUUACCUAUUUCGGAUUAAGUAUGAAAAGACUUAACAAUGAAUUUUGUUGAAAACUCACCCACAUCAAGCAACAAAUAAAGUUCAUAUUAAUAGUAGUUAAUUAUGUCACCAUAUAUAUAAACUUCAUCAACUAUCAUUACCUUUUGUCAAUUACAUAAAUGAUUUGAUUAUAUUUGAUUAUUUAUCAUCUUUAAUCAAGAUUGAGUAUUCCUUCAUAUCUUUUGAUAGGUCCACAAAUUGUAAGAGAUUAAACUCAAGCAUAACACUUCCUUCAUCUUUCAAAUGAUGGACAACAAGAGUGAGUCAAUCAUUGCCUUCAAUAAAUCAAUUGACUGAAGGAUCCAUAAGAAUAAAAAAUAGUUUUUCAAUUCUUGAUCUUGAAAUGGCAACUAUUCUAUUUACCUAUCAUAAAUGGAUUCUUUUCUAAUUAGCCUAGUGUAUGAUGGCAAUUGUUACCUUGGGUAGAACUUUAAUAUAACUAAGGUACUAUGAUCAUGAUCAAUCAUCGAUCCAAUCAAAAUGAUUAAUGAUUUAAUCAGCCAAAAUCAUUAAUUAUGAUUGUUGAUCAUCAUGAUAGAUGAUCUAAUCAAUCAUGAUCGGGUGAUUAUUAUUUAAUAUAAUUAUAUUAUAGUGGUAUGUUGAUUUGGUGAUCUAGUGAUCAUUGUCAUUUAAUAUGAUUAUAUUAUACAUGUGAUCUAGUGCUUAAUUGUUAUAUAUAAAUAUAAUAUAUAUAUAUAUUAAAUAUAUAGUUAUGUAUUGAGCUUAAGUUUUAGUUUUAUUAAGACAUAUUAUGCCUCAUAACUAUAUUAGGAUAUAUAUAAAUUAAGCUUCCUAACAAUACAUAUACAUGAAACAUAUAUUAAGAUUAAUAUAUAUAUGUAUAUUGAGAUUAAAUGAACUAUCUUUCCAACCUACAUGAAACAUAUUUUUGGAUGUGUUUAUUAACUUUGUUAAUGAGAGAGAGGGAGAGAGAGAAGGGGAGAGAGAGAGGGAGGGAGAGUUGACGCCAAUGAGGUUGGCAACAACUCAAUUAGUUUCAGAGAAGCCAUAAUGAGAGAGAGAGAGAAAGAAAGAGAGAGAAAGAGAGGUAGCAGUGAAGCUUACGAUGAUGGUGAAGUUAAUCUCUUUGACAAGAAGAAGAUGGAGGUGAUGGGAAGAGAGAUAUUUAAUCUCCCUCUCAUCAAUUUGAACUUUAACUAUUAAAUUUAAUCUAAACUGUAGCCAUCAAUCCACCGAUCAAUUGAUGAUCAAUCAAAGACCAGAUUAUGAUCACAAUCAUAGUCAUUUUCCAUGAUUGUGGUCAUCAAUUGAUCGAUCAUGAACAUCAAUCUAACAAUUGAUCAAUCACAAUUGUAGUACCCCAAGUAUAACACUACUUUUUACUACUGUGUACAAAUGAGCCCUUUUUCUACUUUAUAUAUUGGGGCCCCACCACUCAUCAUCUAAAUAAGACCUCAAUCAUAUCCACUUAGAGAGAUGACUGAGCAAUUGGAGGAGCAUGACAACAUGUUAGACCUCUUGGAGUGCCUCACCCAAACAUAAGCAUGAAUGAAAAGUAAGUUGUGGGAAAGCAAUAAGAGUUAGAGUUUACAAUGGGAAACCAAAUUAAUAUUAGACAAGCCAUAUUGUAUGAACUCAACAUGUUGUCAAAACGAUAAGUUUGUACCCAAGGUUCUUUGGGGCCACACUUUGUCUUCAAAUGUGUGAGUGACUCCCUACCAAGGGUGAUGAGAGAGAGAGAGAGAGAGAGAUGAAGGGAGAGGGCAUUCCUCCAUGGUUCAAGUGAACAGCAGCCACAGUCAAAAGUGUGAAAUAUCGAUGUAACGGAAGGAGAGUGGCCCGACUACAAGAGCAAUCCACCAGGGAGUGUCAUCUCAUUCACCUUUCGUAGUCUCAUUCUUGUAACCUCUUCCAAAAAUGGGGAAUGCCUCGAUCGUGGGAGCCCUUUCCCUGUCGACCAACCAGCUUUUCAUCCAAGAUUUUCCUCAAGAAUGCAUCAUAAGAAAGAGGAAUCAGAAUGGGUUCCCAGAACGAAGUAACCAAAUACUACCCGUGUGUGCAUUUCAUACUUCCUGAAUAAAUUUGCAAGCGAAAAAAUGAGAAAUCAGAGAUUACAGAAUGAAUUCCACAGAGAUUCACAGUUUAAAGGCUCCAAAGGAUGGGAAUUUAUCCACCUCGUGCUUGGGUAGAGAUGCCACAUUUGAUCUCUUUAUAAGCGCAGAAGAGGCUCAAGUAAAAAUAUACAGGAAGAGAGAGAAUUGCCAUGUACAUGACUCCUGCAAUAUACAUGAAUGGCGGUGGCUCCCCUCUGCGGAGCAGAAACAAGAGAGAGAAGAGACCAGACAGAUUUAGUUCUAAUGACAAUUCAUAAGAGAAGACCUUACUCACCAAUGGAAGAAGGCUUAUGAUUCUCCAUGAUCUCACACCUAAUAGACGACUGAUUCCAUCUCUCCUCACCUAAAGAUCGCAGCUUGCACCCACAGAAAGGGGUGUCAGAUGAACCACAUCAUGAACUCGAUGAGAUGGAUCUUGAUGAACCCGAUUCACCGAGAGAGACGGAGGUCAGAGAUGACGCCCAUGCUCUGGCGUUGCAUGCUCCUUUCUGAAAAUUCCUCUUCUUGCUGAUUGUGAGCUUGCUCCACAGUCUUUUCAAGUCAACCGCAUGAAGAGCCCGCUUAAGAAGGUGGCUCCACCCCCCGAAGAUUGCCGCCCAGUUGGCAUGCCAGACAUAGGAGAGCCACAGAGCCUUCAACUGGGACCAGAUCUCGGGAGAAACGUAUGCGAAUGCUUUGAAGAAGAGGAAGAGCACUGACAGUGCGAGGUAGGGCUCCUGCCUCAGAAUCUCCUUCGCUGUUCUGUUCUCUGCCCGGAUGUGAACCCUCUUCACCAUGUCAAAAGGUUGGUCACCAGGGAAAUACGCAACUGGCUUAAGACCUGAAACAGGAGAGGCCAAGGAAGCCAUCGUGGUGAUCAAGCAAAUCCAAGAGUAUUAUUACAUGUAUCCUUUUUUUAACUUAAAAUGGUUCAUGGAAUGAAACAUUGAACCAUGAUGUAAAUACAGACCAAGGGGAAGGGGAUGAUAGAAAAUCAUACGAGAAUAAUGAUUAGGAAACCAUCCAUGUCAAGGAAAUACCUGUGGUUUUCAUGUAGAAAAGUAAAAGGGAGAUAAGAUCCUUUGACCCGCGAUAUCUCACCCUCAUCGUACCAUUCAUUAUCAAUAUAGACGGAAAGCUGUGGACUCCGUACCUGGAGAACACACUGAAGCAUUGGCAGAAGAAAUGGUCAGCCACGGUUGACUGAUAAUUACAUAGGUAAAUGCUAUAAACGUUGCUGUCCCGAGGAGUACCUUGGCAGGGCAGAAGAUUCUUCAACGGCAAAAUGUUGUAUCCCAGGAAACAAGACAUUGAGAGCAUCAAAGAGCUGCCGAGUUGUCUGAGAGAAUGGACAACAGGAAGCAUAGAAAAGUACAGAGUAAUAAGCAUUCCUCCGGCGAUGGCCCAGCUCUUUGUCCAGGGUCUCACCAGACACCUACCAAUGUUAAACGAAAAUAGUGAAAGGGUGAUGGGGUUAUUAUUUAAAUAGAACUGACCAACAAAAGAAGGAAACAUACAGAAUAAAGGCCACGAAAUCUUUUCUUUCAGUCUCAAACGAAACCAAAGAUGUCAUCAUAUAAAACUUGUUUGAACAAGCAACAGAAAUGGCGAGGCCAAUUUAUUCAUGCGGUCAGACCAUUUGAUCCAUCGAGAUCUUAGUUCACUCUAGCAACGAUCCAAUAGUCUGGAAUUAGCUGAUUUAAGAUUGCGAAUCCAGGGGCAUAGAUGUUAAGAUAUAAACAGCACGGCCACAGAUUUAUAUGACUGGUCAAAAAGAGUUUUGAGGUUCAUCCACAAUGAAAAAAAAAGCUUGAUUCUUACUUAAUGAGGAUAUAAAGGGGAAUUAGUCAAAUUUACCCCUCACAGAGACUUUUCAGACUUGCUAAUGUCACAAGUUUUACAUCAAUGAAAAUGUAAAACACUUGAUCCCAGAUGGCAAGACUAUGCAGUAUAUGACUGUUCUUCUUUGGGUUUGUCUUUUCCUUCAACGGUGAAAAUUUUAAUGCGGAAAAUUCGCCAUUAGAGAACUACCCAUAUUCAAUUGGAAUGCUCAUUUAGUGCGAUUCGACUACCCCCAGCAGCAUAUUGAGAAGGUUACGAGAGAAUUCGUAUCUCAGAUGCUCAUUUUAAUUUAAUUAGAGAUAUGGUAAAUGUUCCUACAUCAAGUGGGCAUAUAAUGGCAGAACCCUGGGGUAAUGCAAUCAUGGAGAGGUGGCAUCAAGAGUAGAUACUUUUGGCUCAUUAUGAAUGAACAGUUCAGUCAAAAAGUUGGAAAGAUUUGAAUUGUUCUUCUAAAUGCUAUUGCAAGAGUUAUUCGGAAUCAAUAGAACCCAGAAAGCUAUGGUUAUCAAAGCUUUUCUAUAGAGAGGGAUGCCGUUUCUUUUGAAUGUUGCGUGGGGCAGAAAUUGAAUCUUUUUUCCUUGAUCUUGAGCGAGAGAAUAUUGAAUAGAGCAUCUCCUUUAGGAGAUCAUUGAUCAUAAACUAGUAUAUGCUCUCUUUCUAUGUUUAGCACAUAUGUGGCACUAUCCACUUUCAAAAGAAAAAAUUAAAAACCCAUGCGACCAGAACCCAAAGGUUCCGAUUCAAAUAAUAGACACAGCCAUCAAAGGUCGGAAUUCCUACACUGUCACUAUCAAGCCCAAAAGGCAAAACCAAAUGUCAGCACAAGAAAGCAGCCUGGUUCUCUUUGAUAUUUUUCACACACACAAUAUAAUCGUUCAUAAACAUUUAGGGAGGAAACGGGAGCUUUGCAAUGCUCAAAUUUUUCGAACUUUUUUCAUGUUAUAUGCCCAACUGCAUAAAGCGUGCCAUUAAUAUGAUGAAGGCACUUUGUGACAGUCUUCCAGAUGUUUGUAAGAUUAUGAACACCACGAGUAAAGUAUAGGAAAUUGAUAGAAAAGGAUGAGGUAUCAACAAAUGAUACAUUUGGAGGAUAAUUUUCUAAUAGAAAAUGGCAAAAGAAGUUGUCAAUAUUUUCCAGAAUAUGGUAGUUGAUGGGUAAAGCCAAAUAGACCACAAGAAUUAUACCUUUGUCACAUCUCAAGAUAACUAAGCCUUCAAAAUGUGGUAACAAUUCACAUUCGUUCCCAAUUGUGUAAACAAUCUAUUUGAGAUUUCUUAUGAUCGUAAAAAGGACAUGAAAGAUCUUUAUCUUGCAGAAAAAUUUAGGGCGACAGUUGGCUUCUUUCCGUGCUGGCUAAAUUUCAGAAACAACACAAACUACUUCUUCUAUCAAGGAAGGUAUCAUUAUUAGACCCAGAAUCAAGGUACCAUUAUAUCUGGAGUAUCUUCGUGAAGAAAUAUCACUAAAUGAAGCACACACCCUUUAAGCAAUAUCUCACAAUAAUCAAAAGUCAAAUUCCCAUUAAGAAAUAUAGAGAAGGAGCCAUUAGAAAUGAUCAUUAGGAUUUUUUUCUAACCAAAAGGUUAAUGAGAACCUACUCACGUAAGAUAGUUGAAAAAUCAUAGGAAUAUUUCAAUAAGUUUAAAAUAUCUUUGACUGAGAAUCAAAAGCAUAAACACAUCAUACCUUGAAAGUUGGAGUUUCUAUAAAAUAGGACUGUUUUAUUAACCUUCCCUACGCCUAAAACCAUUUUAAGUGGGGAAAGCAUGAGAAUCACGGACAGCUGGCAGCAAUGGAUGUUUGAAAGGGGUAAAAAGCCUUUUUCCAAUUUAUUUUUCUCAACUUUUAUAUUGUUUCAACAGUAGCUACCUAUUCCCCUCCACAUUCUGGUUACCGGCAGCUAUUCCUUCGACCAAAGGAGGAAAUGCAAGGGUCCUUAAGAAGGCCUCAGCCGACACACAAUCAGUUCCCACAUUUUUUUCUCGCUAAUAACAUCAUCUUCUAUCCUGUUCUCUGGCCUUCGACCUUCGAUUUGAAGAGGGUAUCCUGAUCCACAAUUAUUUCAACACUGAUGAAGCUCCAGAUUCCCCACCAAUCCAGCAGGAAAGGACCACAAUUAAGCUGAGAGAUUCACCAGCUCAAAGGGCGGUUUAAGCUUCUAGAAGACAAGUUUCUCAGACGGGUCAAAGUCUUCCGUUGAAUAGUAGCAGCCACCGACAUGUAGUUGGUCAGGACUGGGGGCUGGCCGGGGGAGGCGAAUCCGACCAACAAAGGAGAACCCAAGAAACCAGAGAAAAAUGACACCGGAAGCUCACUAUCGUUGACUUCUCCAGAACUUGACAGAAAAGUAACAGCAGAACAAUGCGAUUAAUUGACUUCUCGAGGAUCAGAAAUAUGCCAUCAAGCUCCACAGAGGGAACAUUCGCUUUAAUGGUCAGAAGGGUCUAUUUUCUUGGGGUAGAGCCGUCAGAAACGCCGUGGCGACAUCCCUGUAACAGCACUACUACCAGAGAUCCCAAAAUCACAAAAAAAAAAUCAAAAAAAGGGGAAUGUGCAGAGGAAGGUGAAAUUGGAACCAUGGAGAGCAGACGCCACGAAUAGCAGCGGAAUGAAUCGAGCACCCAGAUGCAGGAAACACCGAACCACAGAAGGGAGAAGAUGGGCAAAAAACUAGGAAGAGAUGGCUGAUUUUCCGCAAAACCCUCGAAAGCCAAAGUAAACAGGCAAUGAAAUCCACGGAGAUGGCAGAUAGUCAGUACCUCGAGGACAGGAGACCGCUCGAUCCAGGAAGGGCAUUGCGAUCGAACUGUGGACUCGAGCAUGGCGAGUUUAUCAACCCUUGGACAGAGAGAAGAUGCGUAGCAGAACCGCCCGAGCGAUAAGACGCAGAAGAUCGAGAAGAACAACAACAGGAGAUGGGGCAGCGAUACCGCCAUAGAUGCCGGGAAGAGGAAAAAAAUAGAAAAAUAGAGGAUAAUAUAGAGGAUGACAAGGGCGGACGGGGCGUUUCUUCGUGGGUCACUCCGAGCUCUCCUCCCGGAUCGCUAUCACCCCUCCCUCCCCACCUUUUCCUCUGAAUCAGACCCUGCUCUUCCCGCCGGCCCACUCGUCUUCAAUCUCUCCGAUUCGAUGGUCCGCUGGUUCGCCGCCGCUCGCAAAAGCCCUCCUACCUCUGGGCUCCUCUCUUCCUUGAAUAUCUUCGACCGGCAGCAAUUACCCAAUCAUCUCCACCUACCGUAGAAAGCACCGGAAGAGAUGGGCACGCGAGAGGACAGGAGUGUGGAAUGAUCGGCGUCUAGAGGAGGUGGGUGGCGGAGGGAGGAAGAAGGUCGGGGUGGACAACUUCCCGAUUUACAGGAGGCCGGAGACCACGCUGAGAGAAAGGGGACGACGACCCGAAUGACCUAAAUGCCCGUAUGAAAUUUCCUAAAAAGCCCUUUAUAAAUUAUAAAAUUUCUAAAAACCCCCGUCAUUGUACGAGACCUUGAGAGAUGCAGAUGUUUAAACAGAUUUCAUAACACAAAAAAAGCAUUAUUAAAUUGUAUAUGUACCCUUAAACCCGUUGCUCAGACCUAUUCUAUCCGCCACAAAAAUUGGAAUAUAUCAUAUUUUAUAGGAUUAUUCCUAAAUUCAGAUUUUUAAAAAAUAAAUUAUGAAUAUUAGCAAAAUAUCUAAUGAGAUGUGAGCCAUAUGAUGGACCAAUCAACACCAACGGCUCAAAACCAUUCUGAAAAAUAUAACUCAAUUGAUAAUCCCAUGUUAACUUUUGUAUUCACUAAGAGGUCAACAUUUCUAGAUAAUUCAUAAAAUGGAUAAAUUUUAUGGCUGGUCAAUAAUAAAAAUUAAUGGCAUGAUGUAUUUGUGAGUGUUACUUUGGGUAUUCCAUUGUGUGAAUAUUUGCCUUAAUUCUGUUUAUUUAUUGGGGAAUUCUUGGUCAUAGGGUAGGAAACAUGCCAUAUAGUAACUAUCUUAGGAUGAUAAUGAAAAUUUUUAAUAUAUUUUAUAUUAAAAGAUAUUAUGAGUAAUCCCCUAUUUACAUAACAUGACCACUAAAAAGGAAGGGGCAAUAAACAUGAUAUCUAAAACUUAUAAAUUAUAUGUAUAAUAUCCAAUAUCCUUUAAGUAAACCAAGUCGUAAAUAUGAACAUACCUAUUUACCUUGCAUGGUAUAAGUGAGGCCCAAUAUCUUAAAAGUCAUUACUAGUAUAAAGCAGACCACAUUAGGUAUCACUAGCUAUUGGUACAACUUAGUAUAACAUAGUGUGAACAUGUGUGUGUAGCACUACAUGAUAUGACACUAGCAUGAUGCAGCAUGACAAUGCAUAUGUGAGUAAUAUAAUGUGACAAGGAGAAACUCAAUGUUGGCACAAACAAGCAUAAGGUUGCAUGUGUGUAGGAGAUGCACAUACAUCAUGGGCAUAAUUGAUGUGAUAAUUAUGUUAUAUUAUGCAUGUAAUCAUAUAAUUGACAACUACUUGAUAAUUAUGAAUGUACAAGCCCACAUUUGGCACCUUAGUUAACCCUAUAAAUAAAGGCAUUGACAACUUGUAAAAUAAAACACAUGGCAUGUUCUAUCUCAAAAUGAGAGACAAUUAUUACAGUGAACUAUUAUUUUACAAGAUUUCCCUUAGAAGUAAGGAGCCAUCUACACAAUUUAGGAUAAAGGUCAUGAGUAGAGCUCACCUUUUAUAAUUCUUCUAGCCAUUUUAUUAAUUGAAAAGUAUACAUUUUUCAUAUUCAUUAAGACCCCUCUCUCUUAUCUAUUUUUGCAACACCAUACGAACCACAUGAAGGUUGAUAUUACUUGAGCAUAUUAUUGAGACAUGUCAAUGACAUUAUAUUAUAAAUCAUUAGACCUGGGUCAACUAUGUGGCAACAUGACAUUUGAUAUCAUAAUAAGUUACCAAUUAGUAAUCAUCAAUUGGUAAUGGAACAAAGGCAUUUAUUAAAGUGAGUGGUUUUUAGUAUGACUUAUACUAAGGGUGGAGUGCAAAGGUUAUGUAUUGAUCACUUGGAGGAGAAGGCCACACAUUAGAUAAUACAAUUUAAGCAAACAUUAGUUGAAUAUCUAUUUUUCUUGAGCAAAUGGAGCAAAUAAAAGCUACCUCAUCAUAAGUAGUGUCUCACCUAUCCUCUACUUAGGCAAAUGAUGUCAAAGUUAUGGAGUUGUGAAAGAAUUAUUAUGUUCUAUUAAUCAAAGUGAAAUUAGUGAAAUGUUGGUGACCACAAUCUCUAAGGAAGAUUUUAUGCUACAAAGGUUGUCAAAAUCUUAGUUUGUAGGGUCUAAGAACAUGUAAGAGUUAGAGAGCUUUAUAUGAGAUAUGUACAAAAACUUUUAGGUGAGUCUCAUGUCAAAAAAAGAGCAUGUUCAUCUAGCUAGUAUAUACCAAUUAAUGGAUGCCAAAUUAUAGAGGCAUAGAAGGACUAAGAGUGAGUCUUGUAUCCCCAUCAAUUCAUGGGGCUAAUUUGUCUAGGAAUUGGGGGAGUAGUUCUAACCCACCAAUAAUGUAUAGGUGUCAUACAUAUCUCUAUAGAAACUUUGUCAAAUAAGAGUAUUUCAUGAAAAUUUGAAGAGAUUAUCUUUAAUCAUCCUUGAUACCAGGGGGUAUGCCCAAAGUUAAUAAGGUAUUCUAUUCAAUGGCUAGGUUGCAACUAUAGGCACAAAUGGAGAAUAAACAUAAGAGAGCUCAAGACCUCAAACUGUUGAUGGAAGUUGAUGACACCUUCAUUAAUUUGCUAAGAUCUAACACCUUUAGAAUGUUAGGAGGUGCAAAGUAGUGAAAAGACUAAGGAGGUUUUCUUUAGGUUACUUUGGCAAGCUUAACUGUAUGGUGUUAAUGAGGAGUAGCUCCCAAAGGUCAAGGAGGUUCCAAGAUUAUUGCAUUAGUUGCACAAGGCUAAGUAAAGGGAAGCUACAACUUAAGUUGGGUUCAACACUUGAAGAGGAAUUAAUCAAAAGGGUUUGUCAAUUUAUUAAUAACAUAAGAGGAGUCAAACAAGGAUAGACUAACUUAUAAUCCUUUGUAAGGAUUAAAGGUGUUGUAAUAGUAUAUGUAGAUUAGGCAAAUUGGCAACGGUAAGUUGAUACAUGUGCAGAUCACCAUCAUGGGUUAUACUACUCUAGUGAUAAUUGAACUAGGGCGACUGACAACUUCUUAUCAAAGAAGGAGGUGACAAUGUUGGGCCUAAUGUUGUCAUGGGGAGACAACUAAGUUAAGGAUGUCAACUCAAAGAAAUAUAUCUACUAGUCGUGUGGUGUCUCACCAAACCUAAGAGCAUGAGAGGGAGAGGUGGAUUUUCAAGUGCUCAAGUUAGAUGGCUUCAAUGCCAUACUUUAUAUGGGCUUCAUACUGAAUUCACAAACAAGGGUCUUCCCCUAUUUUUAUAGUUGUCUUAGGUAAGUUGAGUCUCUACUUUAUUCCAAGAGUGUAGGAGGUCAAGAGGGGCCUCAAGAUGUUGUUCUUACUCUAGUUUAGGGAUGGGUAGAGGAAGGCCAAAUGAACCUUCAUUGAUAUUCUCAUAUAGCCUAAAAAAAUAGUGUUAGGGCUAAAGUUUGGUGGAUGUGGAUUGAAAGUGCCUAUCAAAGUAGGUGUGGUAGCAUCUAAGACUACUUCAAAACUCUAGCCAUGAUAAGGACUAUGAAGUCCAGCAAUAGAGGGAAGUAUGAAACCUCUAACUCUAUUUAAUGAAUCCCCUAAGUCUAGUCAUUUGUGCAUACUAUUCUUCCCAUGUCUUAACAAUACUCUCAAACAAUAAAAACCAUCAUGUGGCUUGAAAGGUAUUAAAAAAGGUAGAUAAUAGAAGUAAAUCUUGAGGAACAUGGUUAUCUUGUUCAUCUCAAGGAAUACAAAGUCUGAAAGGGUUACAAAGAAUGAGCUCGACUAGUAACUUCUACCCUAAAUAGUUCAUGAGGCACCCUACUCAUAGGGGAGGGUGAGAUGAAUGAUAACUCCCCCUAAUAAUUGUGUCCCCCAAUAAGGCAAGAUAUGCCCAUGUCAUAUCAAAAAUUUCACAGUUACUCACUCAAUUACCAAUCAACUAGUAGUUAUAUGACCUUGCCUAGAAUGUGUCAAAAUUGAUGAAAUGGUUAUGUUUUCUGCACACCUCUAUACACAUGUCAUCUUAUGCAUGCAUGCAUCAAUGUUGGCUCACCAUGUUGUAUCACAUCACGCCACACCUACCUACAUGAUGUCACACCUACCUACAUAGCAUGUUAGGCUCCACAAUGUCAUGCACACCCAUGUGCACCACACCUACCUACAUCAUGUCAUGCCAAGUUGCCCCUCCAUGCCAUUCUAUGAUCCAUAGUGUCAUGCACACCCAUGUGCACCAUGCCAUGUUACUCCACAUCGCUGUCAUGCUGCACUAUGCCAACAGUUAACAAGACUUGCUAUGGUCCCACCAUGCACUAGUGAGGGCCCUUGUUGGGCUUCUAUGCAUCCUCCAUGUGCCACCACACAUGGCAUGCCAUGUCAUACCUCAUGUUGAGCGGCUUACAAUGUGCACAUCAUGUGCACAUAUGCAUACAUGCAUAUGUGCCUACUCCUCAAGUGAGCACCAAAGUUUUAAUGUCAAAACCUUACUCCAUGGGGUUGUGACACUUUCACAGUGGCUCAAAUUGCCCAUAUCAAGGUUGACCUAGUUAGGUUUUGACAUUGUCGCAUAGGAUGUCCUAAAAAAAAAUUAAGAUUUAUAUUUCUAAAUAAAAAUAAAAAACAAGCUAUGGGUUUAAGGUUUGGGCCCAUGUUCAAAUCCAUUUGUUAGUAAACACAUACAUUGACAUUAAAAAAAGAAAUUUAACAUUCCAACAAUAAAUGGGUGCAAAGUCUUUUUUCUCAGGCCUUUUCUCUGAGCUUGAGUACGGCUUAACAAGUAGUAGACUCUACAUUGACCUCUUGAAACCCUAUAGUGGUAAUAUAAUAACAAUAACAUAGAAAAAAAAUUAAGACAAUGCCUAUUGUAAAAAGGCCUCAAUAAAUAUUUUUGAUUACAUCACGAUACCCCAUAGAAGACUGGAUGAGAGUGGCUUUUCAAUAAGGACCAAAGUUAAUAGUAUUUUUAAAGUCCUUACAAUUAGAUGACCACAUAUAGAUAUANNNNNNNNNNNNNNNNNNNNNNNNNNNNNNNNNNNNNNNNNNNNNNNNNNNNNNNNNNNNNNNNNNNNNNNNNNNNNNNNNNNNNNNNNNNNNNNNNNNNNNNNNNNNNNNNNNNNNNNNNNNNNNNNNNNNNNNNNNNNNNNNNNNNNNNNNNNNNNNNNNNNNNNNNNNNNNNNNNNNNNNNNNNNNNNNNNNNNNNNNNNNNNNNNNNNNNNNNNNNNNNNNNNNNNNNNNNNNNNNNNNNNNNNNNNNNNNNNNNNNNNNNNNNNNNNNNNNNNNNNNNNNNNNNNNNNNNNNNNNNNNNNNNNNNNNNNNNNNNNNNNNNNNNNNNNNNNNNNNNNNNNNNNNNNNNNNNNNNNNNNNNNNNNNNNNNNNNNNNNNNNNNNNNNNNNNNNNNNNNNNNNNNNNNNNNNNNNNNNNNNNNNNNNNNNNNNNNNNNNNNNNNNNNNNNNNNNNNNNNNNNNNNNNNNNNNNNNNNNNNNNNNNNNNNNNNNNNNNNNNNNNNNNNNNNNNNNNNNNNNNNNNNNNNNNNNNNNNNNNNNNNNNNNNNNNNNNNNNNNNNNNNNNNNNNNNNNNNNNNNNNNNNNNNNNNNNNNNNNNNNNNNNNNNNNNNNNNNNNNNNNNNNNNNCUCUCUCUCUCUCUCUCUCUCUCUCUCUCUCUCUCUCUCUCUCUCUCUCUCUCUCUCUCUCUCUCUCUCUCUCUCUCUCUCUCUCUCUCUCUCCCCCUAAUCCCACAAAUAAUUUUCGUAAAAUAUUAUCCUUAAAACUCGUAAUUAAUUAUUAUAAUUUUUUACCCAAGCUCACUGUUUGCCAUUGGUGUACCCUAGGCUAAUAGGCUAAUGGGCAUAAUAACCUCGGAUAAUAAGCUUCCAAAUUUCGGUCAUGCGCUUCAAAAGCAUUAGUCCCUUACUAAAUCGCUUGAAAUUCCUUGAUUUGACUGUGUUGUGCCUAAGAAAUCAUAUACUGGUAUUGAGAGAGAUAGAGAAAGAGAGAGAGAGAGAGAGAGAGAGAGAGAGAGAGAGAGAGAGAUGAUUGACCUAAACUCAUUUUGUCUGUCCUCUUCCUAGGCAUGGCUGUACACUUUUGAAGAUGUCCAAGUUUUGGCUGGACUCGGUGGUAGUGGUUCAAGGCUGGCUUGACCCAUCUAGAAACCAAACUCAUGAGGAGCUUGCUUCAUCUCCUUUCUCCUUUUCUGGGUGGUAAAUUAUUAUGGUUUUAUUGAGGUAUAUGACCUAGAAGGUCAAAAAAUCACAUUUUUCACAUGAACAUCAACUUGAAUUUGUCAUAUGUUGAGAAUGUGAUGCCCAAAACCGGAUUACAUGGCCAAAUCAUAAUACAUUAUUGCAUAAUUUAAAGAUCAUUUAAUACUAAGAUAGUGGAUUAUUUGUCGUCGUUAUUUCCCCCAUUAGCAUAUGACCGAGGCUUCCCUCGGAAGAGACUGUAAAAUUUUUAUGAGCCUGGGUAGAAUAAUUUGAAAAACUCCAGCUCAGCUCGGAAUUUUCAGCAACAUAUUCUGGGUUUUUUAAUCCAAGCAUGCCCGAUUAAACAGAAACCGAUGUUUACCGCCAUUUGAUUUUUAGUAGCUUUUUUUGUUUGUUUGUUUGUUUGUAUAUUUUGUGGUGGGCAUCUAAUACCCCGGGGGUGGAAGAAUUUUAGAAACUCCAGCCCAGAUCGGAAUUUUCAGCGACAUUUUCUGGGUUUUUUAUAUCAAGAUCACCCGAUAAAAAAAACCGGUUUUUACCGCGAUUUGAUGCAUUUUCCGUUUUUAUUUUAUUUUUGGGUGGGUCUUUUCCUCCUCUUUACCAAGUUAGGAUCUUUCAAAGGACGGAAAAGAGAGAGGAAGAGAGAGAAAGAGCAUUAUGAGGCAGUUCAUCGUCGCAUAAGAACGCUCAAAACAUGGUUGAAGAAGAGAAAUCGGGAGAAAAAUAACACCAAACAGAGUUAUAUUACAUGAACGUACAUAGAAACCACCAUCUCUCUCUCUAUCACACAGAACCAGAAGAGACCAGACGGAAUUUCAAACACCAAGCAAUGAAAAAAUGGAAGAGAGGGGAAGGAGAGGUGGGUCUUGGGCCUCAGCAGAAGAGGAACCCGAAGGCGAGCGCCGACAAGGAGGCCACGGCGGCGGCGACGGGGCCGGCGACGGCGACGGCACCGGAGACCGGGCUCGGCGCCGGCGCAUCGGCGGCGGCGACGCUCCCCAUCAAGGAGCAGCCAACGACGGCGGCCAUGGCGGCGGCGGCGUAGACCCUCGACUUCAACCCAGACUCCAUCGCAAAAUGCGGCGCUUCUCCUUCUCCUUCUCUCUCUGUCUCUCUCUCUCUACCCCUCGCCGGCGACGGAGAAGGAAGCGGCGGCGUAUGCGCAGACUAAAACAGAGAGAUAUAGAUAUAUAUGUAGAGAGAGAGAGGAGAGCGAGAGAGAGCGCUG